UUUUUUUUUUUUUUUGGUUCUAUAAGAAAAAGGUUGAGCUUUACGAGGUUCAAAACGUGAAGGUUGAAUUUUGUAACUAAAGAGAAUUAGAAAGUUCUGAAAUUUGUAACGUCAAGCUUCACGUUAUUCUAGGCAAAAAGAGAAUUUUAUGACUAGACUUGUUUUUCUAGGCAAAUUUUUGUUAGGAAUAAACAUAAACAUAAACAUAAAUUUAACCUUUGAUGUUUAUUGAUUUUAUUUUUUUUGUCUAUAUUUAUUUAUUUGGAUUACAUUGACUUUUAAAAUUUUUAAAUUGUAGUUAAAUUGUUUUGUUUCGGAUAGAAAAGUUGAGUGAAUUAUUAAAAUUUUAAUACAAUUGACGUAACAAUUGUAUGGAAAUUUACGUGCACUUCGUUGAUGAGAUGGAUAUUUUAAAAAAAAAUUUAUGAACUUUUUUAAAAUUUUGUUGAAAAUUUUUAAGUACACGUGGAUUACCGUCUAAAUUACCACAUGAAUGUUGUAAAAUUUUUAACAAGUUAGGCAGUUUUUUUUUUGGUAAACAAGAACAACACUAGACGAUUACAAUAAAAAAUAUAAAAUCAAAAGUUCAAAAUAUAUUUUUGAAUUAAACCCUACACAGCUUGAGGAGAUAUGGAGAACAUCUAAAUACUUGUGAAUCAAUCCUAUAGUCAAUUUUCUAUUCGGAACAAAAGUAAUUUAACAAAAUUUUGAAAUUCAAAAACCAAAAUGAUAAAAAAGAAAAGAUUGAGAACUAAAAUAAUAAAAUAGAUAACCAUUAAAUACAAAAUUUAUCAUCAUGUAGGUCAAAAUUUGGUUUUUCUUGGAGGGGUCAACCAUUUAUUCAUAACACUAUAAAAUAUAUUGGGAGAAAAUAAAAAUAUAAAAUAUGUAUUUUACACAACACCGUCCAUAAAAGAACAAUAUAAUUAUUAUAAUAGUGUAUUUUGCCACCAUCUAAAUUCACUAAUUCUUCGCAUACUAAAUAUGUAUAUUAUUAACAUAAAAACAUAAAGACAAAACAUUUGCUAUCAAGAGCAGACAUAAAUUGUGCUACCAAGAGCAGACAAUGGAUUUUAUUUAAUAAUAUUUAUUUUUAGUAUCCGAAGAACGUAUGGAAGAGUGUUUUCUAUUUCUGUUAUAUUCAUAGAGAGACCAUGAGUUGGAGUCGAGAGAUUCAGUGUGUAGUUUCUCUUCUCAAGAGAAAAUCUUCGCUUACUUUAAUUCUGAAAUUAUUAUGGAAUGCAUUCAUUAUCUUAUGGAGAGAGAAAUGGAAGGCAUUUUAAAGGAGCUUGAGUUACAGAAACUGAAAAUUUGAUUUCCAUCAAGGAAAUUGUCCUGAUUUAGAAACGGGGGAAGAAUUGUUUGUAAUUGUUACAUUGUUUGUUUGUAGCAAUUUUAGAAAUUUAUCAUAAAGAAAAAGAAAAGUUCCAUUCAAAUUUCAGAGGCCUGUGAAAACCCAGCUUCUUCAAACUCAAGAGAAGUUAAUGGGCCUAUACAGCAUGUAUAUUGGACAAUUGAAGUCCCAAAUCAAAGAGCUGGCACGGGCCACCACGAGUGGUUGUCCGGCCCAAAUUAUCCUGUUUUUCGCGACGGCGACAACGAGCUUUGUACUAGUACUGGACGCCACCAAUCUUUGCUUUCCGAUUCCCAACUGUCAAACCUCAAGAAGUGUUUGGGGUUCCCCUUCCUCGCCAACCUCGGAUUUGUCGCUGCGGUCUAGGGUUUUCAAUUCUUGCCGCGAUUUCCGAUCUCAAUCCUUUUCUCUUUCAAAAAAAAAAAAAAAAGAAAAUCUUUAGCUGAUACUCGAUUUCGACCUGCCAAUUGUCACUUGAUCUCAUCGUUUUUCCGUCUAUUCUUCUCGGCGAUUUAGAUUAAUUAAAUCGUAACAGCAUGGUGAGAUCGCACAUUCUUUUUAUUUAUUUUAAUUUUUUUUACUUCGACUGGAUUUUGCAGUUAAGACUCUAAUAUACCUUUUAUUUGAAUGCAAUUCGAAUUUCUUGAUUUUGUUAAAUUAGAAUUUCCUGCUUGGAGCUUUCAAGCCGGCAUGCAAUAUCUUGAUCACAUUUUCCGAUGCUAAAACUCGCAAGCAGGUAUGCUUCUAGAUCACUGUGAUUGUUCAAUUUAUUUUUCACGAGUCAUGGUUCUGGAAUCUGAAUUAUUGUUAUGUGAUUAGGUCCCCAUGAAAAAGGAAAAUGGCCAAAUGGUUAUGGUACCGCUUUUCCAAAGUCAAGAAAAUAUUGCUGGGAAGGUAUUUAUUUCAACAGAUUGAGGAUCAUAGUAUUUGAGCUUUGUACUUGUAACUUUAAAUGUACUACUAUCAACCUUCAAAUUUUGAAGAUAUUUCUUUGUCGCCUUCAGAUCUCCAUAGAACCACUUCAAGGGAAGAAAAUUGAACAUAAUGGUGUGAAAGUCGAGCUUCUUGGUCAAAUAGGUCGGUCCCUGUCCCUUGUUCAGUGUGUUGAUCCCAAUUUUUAAAUAUCAUUCAGAUGUGGUAGAAAGAAUGAGGUUGAACAUUUGAGAGUGUUGUUUCUUGUCGAAUGAAAUUUAUACAAACUUUGAUUUUGCUUGCAGAGAUGUAUUUUGACAGAGGCAACUUUUAUGAUUUCACCUCUCUUGGUGAGUACUGUAGUCUGACCUUACUGUUGUUUGCUUUUCCUGGAAAUUGUUUCAACAUUCUUCAACUUAGGAAUUAAUUUCCAUUAGUUGCAUUUGGAAUGGAUGUGGGUGAAAAUAAAAACUCAAAGAGUACAGUUUGUGCUUUGCAGUUUGUGAUAUUUAUAUCCUUUUUCAGUCUGUUAAAAUAUUUUUGCAUAUAAUAAGUUCUUGUAGACUGUUGAGUUUUUGUAAUCUUUUGUAUAUUCAUAAUAUUUGCAGUACGUGAGUUGGAUGUUCCUGGGGAUAUAUAUGAAAGGAAAACUUACCCAUUUGAGUUUUCUACGGUUGAAAUGCCAUAUGAAACUUAUAGUGGUGUGAAUGUGCGGCUCAGGUAUGCUACCCACUGCUUAAACUCUUUGAAGAAUUUUGUUCAUUUUUCUUUUGAUCAAUUUGAAAAGAGUGGUUCCCUGAUCACCAAAAGUUUGUUUGCUAUGUAUUUUCAAGGAUUAUUAAUCAGAUUCUUAUCAUGAUAAUAGUUUUGGAGUACUUACCUUAAUAAAGAUUAUAAUUAUCCCGAUUCAUGUUACUAAAAGAUGCUUAUUUUGAAGUUAUGAAAUGGUUUAGUUUUGUUUGUCUGAUGACGAGGUUGUUAAUUUGAGGCUAUAAUGUGACAACUCAUCGUAUAGUAGUUUGAUUAUGCUUUCCUCAGGUAUGUCCUGAAAGUGACAGUCAGCCGUAAUUAUGGUGGAAGCAUAGUGGAAUACCAGGACUUUAUGGUAUGCAGCAUCCACUUCCUUUUCUCUUCAAUUUUUGCUUUCUUUAUCUCAUCUCCUUUUUGCUUAGCAUACUAUGGCUCCUUACUCUCAUAUGUACUAACACUAUUAUGCAAAUAAGCAUAUACAUUGUGUGCCACUAAAGGCAGAACUUAAAUUGUCUGUCAUGGUUUCCCCCUCAUACCUGAUAUGCUUCUCUUAUACACGAAAAUCAGCAUCAAUCUAUAUAGCUAUAUACAAUUUAUCGGUUAUGCAGUCUUGGCUACUUAUCUUUUGCUUGGUUUAUGUGUAUCAGGUUCGCAAUUAUUCUCCACCUCCAUCCAUCAACAAUAGCAUCAAGGUGUGUGCAAUAGUUUUAACUUAUUCUUAUGAUUAUGAACAUCAGAUUGUUUGUUUCAUCAUUUGCUAAUGAGCUGCUCACCACUGAUUUCAUUCAUAAUAUUUAAUUUUAAUGAAUAUCAAAUCCGAUCUACAGAUGGAAGUUGGAAUUGAAGACUGCCUGCACAUUGAAUUUGAGUACAAUAAAAGCAAGUAAGUCAAACAUCUAAUGAUCUUGCUUAAAUCUGGAAUAAUAGGCUGGCUUAGGUCAGUGGUCAUAUAGGAUUUAAGUUCUUGAACUUAUACUACUAUAAGAACCAAAUUUCCAAGUCACUUUCUGUGAAGUAGUUUUGACUAUAUAUUGAAGUUCUUACUUAUUGAAAUCCAAUUUGCACAGGUAUCAUCUGAAAGAUGUUAUUAUCGGCAAGAUAUAUUUUCUUCUUGUGAGGAUCAAGAUUAAGAAUAUGGAUCUUGAGAUACGGCGUCGAGAGUCAACAGGAUCAGGAGCAAAUACCCAUGUUGAGACUGAGACACUAGCUAAAUAUGAGUUGAUGGAUGGUGCUCCUGUCAGAGGUAUGUUCAUAACUUGUUUUCUUUGAAGGAUGUUGAUUUGGGCUGAAAUUUUAGUUUUAUUAAAUUGUGUAUUAUGCUCAUAUCAUGUUCUUGGUAUUGAAGGUGAAUCAAUUCCAAUCAGGCUGUUUCUCAGCCCAUAUGAACUGACGCCGACGCAUCGCAACAUAAACAACAAAUUCAGCGUGAAGUAUUACUUGAAUCUCGUGCUUGUUGAUGAAGAGGAUCGUCGAUAUUUCAAACAGCAAGAAAUUACGAUAUACAGGCUACUGGAUUCCUGAGUAAGCAUCAUAUACAUGUAAACUUUAACAUUCCAUCCAGUAAAGAAGAACAGUGAUUAAACUUGUGGUACCUUUGUAAAGCCGCGAAGCUUAGGGUUAAAACUUGAAGAAAAAGAAAAUUGCCGGAAGACAGGGUUGUUUAUUUGGAAGGGCUAUAAUGGCUUUUGUAUACUUUGCUUGCUAGAUUUCAGCUGACUCGGAAUUGAUGCAGUUAUUUACACGAGUGUAGUUACAUUUUGAUACGACCAUUAGUAGGCCGCCACUGCCGAUGAACAUUAUAGUUCAGAAUUGUCAGUACAUGUUCUGUGUAAUUACAUAACAAUUGCAUGAUUUCUUUUUCCCUUUUCUUCUCUAACCUUCAAAGGAAAACUCACUUUUUUCCGUGACAAAGCCCAAACUUCUGCAACACGAUAUAAUUUCAAAAUGUAUUUAAUAUAAAUCAUUACAACAAAAUCUUAAACACGCAAAAUACACCAAUACGUAGACUAGUCAAAUUUGUUAAUUGGAUUAGUAGAUUUGAUUUGGGUUGGGUUAAUUUGGAUUUUAAGAUUUUCGAUUCAGUCUCGAUUUUGGAUUAUUUUGAAUUUGGGCAAGUUGGGGUGGUUAUGAGUUUGUAUCAUUUUGAGCAUUGAUCUAUUUUAGUUAUUUGAUCAACUCAUUUUGACCAUGAGUUAUUUUGGGAUUUGGAUUAUAUUAACUUUAUAUUAUUUUGUGUUUGGAUUAAUUUUGAGUUCAUGUAUGAAUUAAGUUGAGUUUAUUGGUUCAAAAUUCUAAACCUUUUAGAAAUUUAAAUUUAGAAUGAUUUGAAUAUAAAAAUUCAAACCAGUGCUAUUUGAACCAAAUCGGUCUAGCUAGUUAAAUUGGAAAGUAAUUAAUAUAUCUAUUUGGAUAAUGGGUUGAAUCAACUUUUAAGCAAAUAGCUUAAAUUUAAAAAUUGAAUUAAAAAUUGACAAUUGAAUAAUUUUUUUAAAUAUUUAUAAAUUUUAAUUAAAUCGAAAACAAAUUAUUUGACGUAUUAGACCAUUGAUUUGGUUAUUAACCCAUUCACUUUCCCACCGUCGCAGGUCUCCCGACCAAAAGGAGCCUUUGUCAAAGUACAAAUGAUGCCUACGCCAUCUGAGCCACCGACACCUCCUCUUCCUUAAUACUAUUCAUAUCGGAUAACCCAGAUCCUGCCACGUGUUACAUUCAAAAUAUAAAAUUCCUAUCAAGUUGUGCCAAACGCGUACUCCGAUUCUGUUUCCCAUUUCAUCCACAGUUACUCGUCCCCAUCAUUUAUCCCACAUCCAAUAUACCCAUUACUUCUGAACACUUCAAAUUGACCCACUCCUUUUCUCCAUUAAAAGGUAAAAAUCAAAAUGCGAGCUCUUUUCAUUGAUUAAAAGCCCAACACAUUGGCUUUCGUCUUCGCAACUUCAUAUUAAAAUCUCUGCGUCCUCUCGCAGAAGGAGAAAAAGGGGAGAAAAUUUGACCGUGAGUAGUAGUAUUAGGCAGAAGAAACAAUGGAACUGUUCUAUUUCAUGGUGUUCGGUGCAUUGGGAGCAGUGGUUGCAGCAUUAGAGCUAAGCAAGAACAGCAAAGAUCGAAUCAACACUUCCCCUGCUUUCAAUUCCUUUAAGAACAAUUACCUCGUUGUUUACUCUCUCAUGAUGGGUAACUAUAUAACUCCCCCUCAUUUUUUUUUUUGUAUUUACUCAGAUCUGAUUUAAUUUCUGUCCUUUAGAUCUCACUUUUAUUUUUACUCUUAACAUGUAUCUGAUCUAAUGCUGGUUUUUAUUUGUGUGUGCGCGCGCGUGAAUCCACAACCUAUUCCCUAGAUGUUCACUUUUAGAGUGUAAUUGAAUUUUUUUCUUUUGUGAUUUGGUUUCACUUUGAAAUGGAAAACGGGAUAACCUGCAUAUGUUUCAGCUUGUAAAAGGAAAGAGUAAAGAAAAUGACUUCCAAUAAGCGUUAUGUGGAUUGUCGGUCCCUUUCUGUUUUCUGGUUGAGACAUUGGAUCUUUGUGUGUGUUGGUGAUAGGUUGCUAUUACUUGGAUAAAGAAACAACCAAAUCUUUGAGGAUGAAACUAUCCAUUGUUGUUAGAGCUUACAGUGGAAGCCUUGAACUCGUGAUUCUUGCUGAGUUUAGCACCGUUGUGUUAACUUCUUUAAUAAGUUUUGUGGCAAUAGAUGUAGGGGUGAUACUUUCUAAUCUAGGUAUCUACUUGAGAUUUAAUGGUCUGAGAUGCCAUUGGUCAUGAAUUUGAAUUGUAUCAAAAUUUGUGGUCAAUCUAGCUUUUGAUACAAGUCUUUUAUGAUGACAUAUCUGUAACGAUCUUAAUCAAAUGCAUCAUAAACAUAUUACUACUUAUGUUUGAAUGAUAACCUUCUGGAGCUAUGAUCUGGUAAUUGUGAAAGAUAACCUUCAUGGUCAUUGGGUGAUAUAUCUGUCUUGCUGUUCUGAUAAAUGGUUGUUUAUGUAUCAAUAGCUGGAGACUGGCUGCAGGGUCCAUAUGUUUACUAUCUUUACAGUACAUAUGGCUUUGGAAAAGGGGAGAUUGGACAGCUUUUUAUUGCUGGUUUUGGAUCUUCCAUGUUGUUUGGCACAAUUGUUGGAUCUCUAGCUGACAAACAGUAAGCUUUUACUGUGGCUUCUGUUGUGAUCCUGUCAUACUCAAUGAAUGAAUGUCGAAGGUUUUUUCUUAAAUGCUAAAAUACCUUUUGUUCUAUUCAGGGGCCGAAGGAGGGCAUGUGUUACUUACUGCAUAACUUACAUACUUAGUUGCAUCACCAAGCACUCUCCUCAAUACAAAAUUUUGAUGAUAGGUCGUGUUUUGGGAGGUAUCGCCACCUCCCUUCUGUUUUCAGCAUUUGAGUCUUGGCUUGUUGCUGAACAUAAUAAGGUGAGCAAUUGUUUUGUGCUCUUUACUCUUAUGCAUAUCAGUCAAGCUUACAACUUACGGCAUAUAUGUGUUUGAUUUUGUGCCCUUUACUCUUGUUUCCUUACUAUUAUGGAUGCUGUGUGUUAGUCUGUCAGGUUGUUUGCCACCAUGCCCUAUUUUGGGGGAAAAAAACAAUGACAAAGACAUUUAGCUGACAUCUCAUAUUGAAAAUGGUAUAUAGGAAAAUGCAAACUUCGAUUCUUGAACUUUCCAUCAUUGUUUUCAAAGAUGUCAAGGCAUGAACCAUCUGUUUCUGCUUAGCUACAUUCUCGCCUGCAUCACUGAUGUUGAUAUCUCCUUUAAAUUUAAUCUUGUUCUUACAAUUCUAUUUCUGCUUCUAAUCUUUGCAGAGGGGCUUUGAGCAACAAUGGUUGUCACUAACAUUUUCUAAGGCAAUAUUUCUUGGCAAUGGUCUUGUUGCCAUUUUGUCUGGGUUGUUCGGGAACCUACUGGUUGAUUCACUAUCCCUUGGACCUGUGGCUCCUUUUGAUGCUGCUGCAUGCUUUCUUGCCAUUGGAAUGGCCAUUAUUUUAUCAUCAUGGACUGAAAAUUUUGGAGAUUCCUCAGAAAAUAAGGACCUGCUCACCCAGUUUAGGGGUGCUGCUGUAGCAAUAGCUUCUGGUAGAGUUCAAUAUUUAUUAUAAACUCAUACAUUGAUCAGAUUGACAAGUUGCAGGCCAAGUACUGUCUCUUGAUGCCUUCUUGUUGUCAGUCAUCCUCCAUCGUGCAAUAAUUAUUUCCUUAGCUUUCUUUUUGUUCCCUUUAGUCUAAUUUUUUGUGCACUUCAGAUGAAAAAAUUGCUGUGCUGGGUGCCAUCCAGUCUCUGUUUGAAGGUUCAAUGUACACCUUUGUGUUCCUUUGGACUCCUGCUUUGAGCCCCAAUGAUGAAGAGAUCCCUCACGGUUUUAUUUUUGCCACAUUCAUGUUGGCUUCUAUGCUGGGAAGCUCCCUUGCAUCUCGAUUGAUGGCUCGCUCAUCACCCAGGGUAGAAAGCUACAUGCAGAUUGUUUUCGUGAUUUCCUCUGCCUCUCUCCUGCUUCCCAUUAUAACUAAUGUAUGUUCGAACAUCUCUCUCUCUCUCUCUCUCUCUCUAUAUAUAUAUAUAUAUAUAUAUCUGUAGAUUAUUCUAUUGAGUGAUUCCUAACUAUAUGGAUUGUAACAGUUGUUGGUGCCUCCUUCAAAGGAGAAAGGCGGAAGCAUCUCAUUUGCUGGCUGUCUUCAGCUUCUUGGCUUCUGUACUUUUGAGGCAUGUGUAGGGAUAUUCUGGCCAUCCAUUAUGAAAAUGAGAUCCCAGUACAUCCCAGAGGAAGCUAGGAGCACCAUUAUGAACUUUUUCCGCAUUCCUCUCAACAUCUUUGUCUGCAUCGUGUUGUACAACGUAUGUUAUAAGCUUUUCUAUAAUAGCUUUAUUUGAUCAUGUGCCAUAGACCAAACCCAAUAAAGCUUUAACUCUGUAACUAACCAGCUAAUGUUUGUUUUGGCUGUGAAGGUUAAUGCAUUUCCCAUCACUGUUAUGUUCGGUAUGUGCUCGAUUUUCCUCUUCGUGGCCUCUAUCUUGCAAAGACGAUUGAUGGCAAUUUCAGACAAGCCAAGUAUGUAUACAACAUCAUAUCACACCAAACAUCCUUCAUUUUCCUGUGUUAUCUUUCAAGUCACUUCAAGCUGUUCUCUUUUCAAACAUUUUGAUGAUUAUUAUUAUUAUUUUCUUUUCAGAGAUGGAAAAUUGGACAGCUAUGAAAGAAAGGGACCCUGAGGCAGAGCCACUAAAUGAUUGAGAGUGAUGUUUGGGCUACAUACAGGGUCACCAAGGAUUUUCUUGGUAGGUAGAAAGCAACAACAUAACUCAUUUCCCUUUUAGAGAUGCAAUUGCUACUUGAUACAGAUUGGAGGGUUUGUAUUUUGAUUUUAUGGUAAAAGAGGUAAAAAUACAGUGUAUAAGAAAAUAGGGGUCUACCCAAUAAAGAAGAUAUGAGUUAUAUAAUAGGUCAUUAUCGACUAUUCAUGAUUUGGUUUUUUUUUGGCUGUCAGUAGUUCAGCAUUAAAAAUAAUUAACCAAGUUUCAAAAUCUUUCUGAUUUUGAUAUUAUUCUUUUUUUCUAGAGUGCUUCAUAAUUCUUAAUGGGUACUUGGUUUAGAUUUUUUUUUAACAUAAAGGGUAAGGGUAAUUUUUGUCCAGAAAUUGAAUAUGAUGUCAAUCGAAGACUUGAUUUUAUGUUUUAUGUUUAAGUUGAUUAAGAUUCUUGAUAAGAUAUAAUCACUGAUUUCAGAAUCGAACUGUUUGGAUAGAUUGGUUGGAUAAAAAAUCAUAAGAUAUCGGUUCAGAAUAAGAGUUGGAAUGGUUAACUUGUGAAUCGAGUACUCGAUUGGUCGAAUCGAUUGAAUUGAAAAUUAAAUUAGUUUAAUUUUUUUCUUUUAAAUAUUUUAAAUAAUUUAUUCAAUUAAUUGAAUAAACUCCAUCCGAUUAUUUUAGAUAUAAUUAGUUUUUUAAAAUUUCUCUUCUUUUGAUGAGUAGGUGAAAAUGGUUUUAUUUCCAAAGUCAUAAUACGCACUAAAUUACUCCAUGUAGAAAGAAAGAGAACAUUAGAAAUGCCAUCUAUUUACUCGAUUCACUCAAAGCAAUGUCUAGUUUUAAGCCGGACAAGAUAUUCUCGCUCGGCUAGACGUGAUAAAGCCUGUUAUAUAUAAUUAAUCUAAUAUAUUAAUUAAUAUGAUUCUGACUAUCAUUAAUAAUUAAUUAAUAUUAAAAUUUUGUUGUAUAUAUAAAUAAAAUAAAAUAAAAUUUAAUGUCAAUUUUGUUAUAUAAUAAAUAAUAAUUUUGUUAGUUUAAAAGUGUUUCUAAUUUGUAUUAAUGUGUUAUAUAAAACAAAAUUGAAAUUCACUCUAAAUUUGGACUUUUAUUUCUUAUCAAUUUUAUUUUUUUUACCAAUAUUAAAAAUACACGAUGGAGGUUUGAGAUUUGUAUUAGUUCUUUUUCCUUGAAAAAGGGGUAUUUAUAAGAGGAGGGCUUGAUGUGGGCAACUCUAUCAUUAUCACUUCUUUAAUAAUCUGGAUAUACGUUGGUGAGCUUAAGAAACCGAAAAGAUUAAAAAGAUUAGAUCUGACGUAAUAACUAUCCUUGGUGACGAUGCUCGUGCACGUUAAUUUAAUAAUGCAUAAACUAAAUCGCAGAUGAAAGUACUGACUAUCGCCACCACAAAAAUUUAGAAUUCUUAACUAAAUACCAAACCGAGCAGCAAUCAGGAUACAAUAAUAAUUCAUUUUCUAUAAGAAAGAAAGAAAGAAAGAUUCAAUAAAUCACAUAAAUUAGAUCCUUCAUCCAAUCCAUGACGAUUACAAGUAUACGAAAACUUGUCCUCUCAGGCACUUUGGGUCGACGACCCCCCUAAAAUUUUGUGUACAUUAUCCAAAAUUACAUAUAUCCAAUACUUUUCAUGGUCUUUUGCUAGUUUCUACAAUGACUCUGCAAAGCUCCAUGAUUUUUUCUUAAAAGCCGCUCAAAGCAGGCUUUUCUUUAUCUAUUGCUUUCAUUCUUAGGAAGUAGUGACAAAGCAGAUUGAAGUGAGUUCCCUAACUUGUCUCUCAAGCUUGAAACUGUGUUCUUCAAUGGUUCGUAACAACUCGUUUCAUCAAUCUUGUUGUGUUCUUGUACCUGGAAUUGUCUCUCCAAGUAUCUUCUAAGACUUGCCUCUGCAACGUUGAUGAGUCUAAAUGAAGCAUUUGUGUGCAUGAAUUUUGUGAUCAUAAAUCCUGCUAGAAUCAGCUGAUCUGCCUUAACGAGCUCCAAUAUGAAUGUGGGGAACAAGAUUCUUGCAAAUAGAAACAAGAUGUCUCCCUUGGUGUUUCCAUGUUCAUUGCUUCCUUCCUUUCUAAGCUUUGGCAAUUGUGCUUCUUGGAACUGAUGAGAGAAAUUGCCUACUAAAUAGCAGACAUAGGAGAAAAUAGUGCCGAAGGAAGAUUUGUUGAUGACAGUUGAUAAAAUCCCUGAGGAGAGGAUUAGCGUUAAGAACUCGUGGUCGUUGGCAAUGUCAGAAGUACCUUGUUUCAUCUUGUUUUCGAGUGCAGUCAAAGACUCCACCUGCAACCCUUCAUAAGGAAGUAAAAGCAUCAUCUUUGAAGCCAUGAAACAAUCCAUUCCGAGUACGAUGUCAUUCAAGUUCCUUGCAUCGCCUUCAUCAAGUAAUACUCCACCGGGUUUUGAUAUGGAUUGGUCAAUCAGCUUUAAGACAUCUUUAACUCGAGAUGCUUUAAUAAGGAGCUUGAAAAUCUCUGUCCAAGACUCGUGUAAAGGAUGGAUCAAAAGCGAAUCCCCUUUCUUUUCUCUCUCCAAAGGUUCAAUUUCCUGAAAGCUCUCCCAUCCUUCAUCCCAAUCAUCGCUCCAGCUAUUUUCUGCAUUAGAUAAUUCUGGAGAGGCUUCCUCUUCUUUCUUAAUCAUGAAAAGCCCUUCCCACUCUUCCAAAAUGACUACCAAAACAUCGAGAUGAGGAUCUGCAUUGGCAAUGGCACACAAUUUUAAGAAGCAAGAAACUGCCGUAUCAACACUUGAUAGGUCAUCGGGGGUGAUUUCAAAGCCAGGAGAAAUGGCUGCCAUAAGUUGAGAUGAUCUCAGGGCAACUAAAGUACUUGUAAACCUGCUGGAAGUAUCUAUUUGCUCGGGCAACCCAUCAUUUGAAGUAAUUUGGCUCUUGUUAUUAGCACAUAGUGACUCAUCCCACCCUACCCAUGGAUGAACAUUUAGCUGCAGCUCAGAAGAUAAACCCUUCACACUUUUACCAGCGAUAAAUUGCAUAAGCUCUAAGACAUGAACUCGAACAUUACUAGCUAGCAGCAAAUCUUCAGAGAAUCUGGCAAGUCUUUCCCAAACUGCACACCUGACUUUCUUUAACUCGUUGAAAUCACCCUCUAAAUUGCUCAGAGAUGAUAUCAACUGAUAUAAUUUCUGGUGUUCCCGAGAUCCAUUAGCCAAAUCCUGUAAAAUUGGUUCUAGCACUUUUAAAUAAAGAUGGGAAAGAUUCUGGAACUCAGUUUCAGCUGAUGCAGUUACAGUGGUUGCAUGGUGUUGCAGUGCUUCAACAAAUACUUCUGAAAUAGUGGCGAAACCACAGCCAGAAAAUAUCAUAGCUCUGCAGAAAGUGAAAAUGUCUCUAGAAGGGUCACUGAUUAAACCAUUUUUGACAUAGUCAACAAUGGUGCUCCAGCUCUGACUAGGAGAAACAGAGUCCUCCAUUACCAACCUCAUGAAAACCUUUAAACAACUCAUUAAGCAACCUGGGUGGAACUUGAUUUUCUCUACAGAAAUCUCGGCGGAAGCAAAUUCUUGCAUUUCUUCGGUCAACCUGAUCCAGAAAUUCAAAAGGAAGAUCAAGCAGUCUUGCCAUGUCGAGUUAUCAGGUAGAUUCUCAUAUGCACCAUCUGGAGGUAAGAUUACAAUGAAAUAUUGCUUCAUAAUAUCCAAUGCCUCUGAAGGUUCUAAGAGUAUAAUAUGUUUUCUACACAAGUCAUAUAUAUGCUCAAGUUCACUGCUUGUGUUCAGAAAAGUUUCAGGGUUCUUAGUGCUAAACUCUGUUCUAAAUCUAUCAUUCAAUUUUGUCAAUAAACGCAGUAUAUAAUGUUUGCGGACAUCCUGCCACGAUAUGAGACCCUCAGGCACUGGAUCCCUGUAGACACUGACCAGAGUCUUUACCAUUUCAGACAAAGCUUCCAAGCUAAAUUCAUUGGUAUGAGCAUAGACUUCACUACUGAAACACUGCAGAUUCAAACCACCUAAUCCAGUAAUAUUUUUGAAGUUUAGGUCUUUCACAAAGGAAAUUCUUUUACAUUCUUCCUCAAUAACCUUGUAAUAAUGAACUAAUCCCAAAGAUAAUGCAUGUGUUUGAUCCGAGAGUAUCAUUGGUAAAGGUUCUUUGCUUUCCUCUAACUUCUUAUAGCAGUCAGAGAGGAGGCUAUAGAUGUAAGCAAGGCGGUGCUUAUUACAACCAUCAACUGCAGGGUAUACGAUCAAUGAUAUGGUUUGGAUAGUUUCAGCAGCAUUAUCAAGUAUUUCUCCCUUAAUUUCUGAGAUCUCAGCCAUGAUGUCAUCAUUGGUCCAGAUCUCAGAAAUAAGGAUUGAAGUUAAGUACCUGCGUAUUACCUGCAAAAGAAAAAAAAAGGUCAUUUAAUGGCUUAGAAGGGCAUACCAUAAUAAUCUACCAUUUUGAGCUAAGAAACAUAUACAUGCACGGCCACAUACCUCAGCUCUGUUUAGGCCAUAGGUAUCAGCCAUUCUCAAAAUAUCCUUUAAAAUGUGCUUCUUCUCCAAUGUCAAAGAUUCAAUUAGAGAAAAAAUGACACUCUCAAUGUAACUGGCAUCACCAGACAGAAAACGUGUAGUUUCAACCCCAGGAAUUAUUUGCUCUAAGAAUCUAGAAUGUUCUGUGACACGCUUUUUCUCUUCUAAUUUUAGUUUCCAUUCCCUCCAAAAUGAGGAUUGUACUGCAUCGAUCCUAUUUAUGUCAUCUGAAAACAAGUAAAACAGAAAAAAGGAACAUCAUUGCAUGAAAGUGCAUGUAGGAUAGUGCAAGCAAAAUUAUGUGGUCUGGUUUAAGCAGUUAACUACAGGAACUAAGUCUAUUACCAGCAUUAAGUGGCUUAUUCUUUUCUCUAAACUUCCCGAGUAGCAGCUCUCUCCUCUGAGUAGGACCUUCACAAUCAACUCCAGUAUUAUGUAAUAUGCUAUAGGUCAUUCCAACAUUCAUAAUACUACAUGUUUCGAGGUAGUUUUCCCUUGUUCUCAGCUGCUCUUCAAUUACUUGUACACCACUAAAAGCAUCCACAAGAUUUAAUAGGAAGGAACAACCAAUGACAUCUUCCUCGUCAGUAGCUGGCGGUUCUAAAAUUGAUUUUGCCAGAGAAGCAAUCAAAUCGUCUCUAGGAGCAAAACCAUUCCUCGCCAACCAGGACAAAAUAGUUAUCACAGUUUGUGUUCUUACACUUACAUAUGGCUUCCCAGGAAUCAAGCCAGAAGUAAAUUUCUUACUGUAAUCUUCUUUUCUAGUUAAUUCAAGCAACCAUGGAAGUUGUAUUGCAGCAAAAGAUAAAAUCUUUCCAUUUUCUUGCAAAAUCAGAUCCCAAUUUGUUCCAUUUUCAACAGGCAGAUUUUUAGCAACAAGAGAAAGCGUAUUUUUAAUGCUACUGAAAUGAUUUUCUUGAUCAGCACCAUUAAACCCAUCAGCCAGUUCAGAUGAAUUUUUCAGGUCGACAAUAUCUUGAAUACUGUAACCUGGAAGUGAGAUUACGGAGGAACCUUGAAUGGAGAAAUUCGGAGCAUUGGUCCCUGUCAACGUCAUCAAAGUCUCACACUGCCCUUGCAUGUCUAAAUCUUUCCAUGCAAGGAGCAACUCACUAAUUGACUCCUCAUCACAAUGGCUCAAAGCAAAACCCAGUAGCUGCUUUCGAGAACUAAUGUCCAUAUUCUCAAGAGGACCCCUUGCUAGAGCAGCACAUAAAUCCCAAACAAGACCAUGACCCUUUUUGGCCAGAACAAGGCAGAGAUCAAAGGCCAACUGCAGAUCACCUGAAACUGCAGCUUCCCUAGCAAUAACUUCCUCCACAGCUGAUAUUUCAUCCAAGGAGCUCAAUCCAAGAAGUUUGGCAACCUCAAUUAGUUCAUCAACAUGUAGAUAAGCUCCAGCUUGACUUGUGACUGCCAUUUUAAUAAUUUCCAUUGGAUCUUUUAUUUGCCUAAAUUGCACUGGUAGAAGAGUCACUCCAAGGUAUGGAAGUUUAACAGUAAGUGCAUCAAUAAUAUCAGCCUCUGCUUUAACAUUUCUGCUACUUGGAAAUAAGUUCAGGCAUUCCUUAGCCUUCCAGAUCUGAAACAAGUUAAAGCAACACAAUCAAUUUUUUGUUUUCUGAAUGAAAAACAAAAAGAAAAAACAGUAUAUUUCAUUCCUUUUGACAUCAUUGAACCACAAUAUGAAUUUAUGCUGUCAUCAUUGAAUCACAAUAGCUCAAUCAGUUGAACAGGGAUUCGAUUGAUUUUAAUGAUCAUAACAGAGGAAUCAUACAUGAGAUUAAUCUUUUAGAAGGAUACCAGAGUUUUGGAUUAUUAAGCUAUUCCUGUAUAAACUAAGCCAUAAAAGAUCAUGAACUGACUCCAAACUUACUUCAGAGCAAGACAGACUUGAAGCUGAGAAGAAAUACUCCCUUGCAGCUUGAAUAACAAGAUUUUCUGCUUUUUCUGUUGCCAAGGAUGCUGAACUUGUACCCCUUAAGUAACUUCUUGCAAGAGAAAACUUCCCUGCUUUUAACAGUCCUCUACAGAACUCUGUUAACAGAUAUUCAAGGUCCAGAAAAGGAAAAGCCUUCUCCUGCAAGCACAGCAUAUCACGCCACAUGUUUGCCCACUCAUUAUCAGAUCGGCCAGGCUGACGGCGGAUAAAUUUUGAGAGUAUGAGGCGAAUAAUCUGUUUUACACCUUUUUCAUCAGAAUGGGCUUCUAAGAAAAAAUUCAUUGGUUUUGGGACCUGUAGAAAAAUAUCAUCAACAUAGACUUAGUCUACCUAUAGCAUUGAGCUCUGCAGGAUAAACACCUCAAACUGAUGCUUAAAAGGGAAACAAUUUGAAACAAAAUUCACACUCACAUUUGUCAUGAUAAAAGCAUAGAAGAAUGAAGACAAACCUGGUAAAAGGCCAAAAGUCUCCCUGCUUCUAUAUGGCCUUCUGCCACUUUACAUCUUUGAUCAAGGAUGCCAAUGCAUAUUUCAGAAUCUGAAUUAAUUAUAGAUGGAGAAUAAGAGCUCAAUGUGACAAAACUGAGGCCUAAAGUUAUAAAGGGAUCUGGAAUCAAAGAAGAGACGGACCCAGGUGGAGAAAUGGAAACAACUCAAGCCCUUGGAGGAUGAAAAGGAGGAGAAAGACAGAGAACCAGAGCAUAUAUGACUUCUAAAAUCUUAAUUCACUCAAAACUCUCCAUCUUACUUACAGCCCUAAAUUAAACCUUAUAUAGCCUUAUUUCCUAAAGUAAAAGAUUUUUAAAUGCCACUAAUAUAAUCCAGCAUGGAAGGACCUAACCAGUCUGUGCACAAUAUAAGGACACUACCAAGAUGAAAUGAAAAUCAUAAUUCAUUCCAAGCCCCUUCACACUUUGUACAAUCAUGUGAAACUGAUUAAUGAUUAACAACAAAAAGAAAAACAGAUUGGAAGUAAUAAAGUAGAAUAUUUUGAGCGAGUUGGGUCCAUUUGAUGCAGAAACUACCUUGCUUAUGCGGAAGCUUUGAUAAUAUUGCAGACAUGGUACUCCACCUAUCUGUAACUGUAAAUAAGUAUACACAUUGCAGAGCACAAUCUACAACUUCAACCUCAUUCUUGAAGAAGCCACAGCUUUGGAGCUCCCUGCACCCUUCCUCAAUAACCAUCAAGCAUAAAUCUAAUUUAUUGGCCAAAGAUAUCUCUUUUAGCCAUCUAACCAGAAAUGACUCACCCUUAGUAUGAUCUACUUCGGAAUGGCCAUCUGCAGUGUGCUGUUGGGUAGCCAAGGUAACACUAUGGGACCUUUUGUGCAUAAAUGGAAUUGCCUUAUUCCGUAAUGAUUCAACAACAUUUUCCUCUUUGCACCUUUGAAGCAUUGUUCUAAAUUUUUCAUAGUCAGAUAAUUGUUCCCAUGCAACAAGACUCAUGCUGGUACUUAUCUCACCAUCAUUAUCAGCAUAAACCAGUUGGUGCAGGUAUGAGAUGUCCUCAUGAAACUGCUUUAACCCAUAGACACCCUUCUGGCAAGCAAAGUCAAUCAAGCAGAGGCAGUUGUCCAGCAACCCACUGUAGGAAUCAAUAUCUCUAGCUCUAUUCUUAUACCAAACUACAAGGUCAUCUGUUGAAGGCCAAAAAGAUCCUAGCAAUCUCUUGACAACAGGUUCAGUUCUAAUUUGACUCCCAAUGUCAUGGUUCUCGGGUAAUUUAUUAAUAAAACUUACCAUUUUGUCACAUUCAACCCAAUCUUCUUCCCUCAUAGCAGUACUUGCAGGAGGAGACUUUCCAGGAAGCAGCUGCGCAUAUGUUUGCACAGGAAUUGUUUCCGGAAUAGCGGCCAAAAUAUCUAACAUGAAAUGAACAAGUGAAUAAGGAUGACGCUUGAACAGGAGGUUUAAAGCCCCAAUUUUCCCCGUUUCAGCAAGUGCAAUGGCUGCUUCAUUCAUUGGCAUAACACGGAACUUGCUGUAUUCCUGCACGGAAAACCUACAAACCCCAUGUCAUUAAACCAUCGAUCAGUAGAAACAAAAGAAAGUGGAAACCUCUAUACAUUCAAAACUAGAAGUAGCAUGUGCAACUAUUAAAAGCUGGAAAGCACAUACCUGCCCAUGUUUAUCCCAAUAAAUGUUUCCAACCUGUCAUGGAAUUGCAACAGCUGAAGUCUAGACAUACGGAAAUCCCAAAUCUCAUCAGAUUCUUGGCUGUUUGAUUCAGAGAAUUUGUAUCCGUUAGUUAACUGCAGGCCAAAUGCAAGUAAAGCCUUUGCUACUUCUUCUGAUGACCCAACUUUAUUUACACACUCAGAAAGCACAAAAACUUUAUCUUUAAUGUUUGACAAGAAGGCAUGUAUGUCGUUUAUUCCUUGGCCAGAACCCAACCACUGUGACUUUAGAACUUCAUCCCUAUCCAAUCCAUGACGGUCAGCAAAGUCCAAGGCAGCUUGAUGCUUAGAACUACCAAUUAGUAUCUUAAACAUUUCAGGAACAGAUCUUUCUGAGAAAGAUCUCAAACUCCAAUGCAACUUAGAAAUGUCAGAUAGAUUGGAUCCAUUUUCAGAAGUUUCCUCUCUUUGAUUCAAGUCAUGUGUUAUUCUAUUACUAUUAGAUAAAUCAAACUCAUUUUCAGAUGAUAAACUCUCUAAAACAAAAAGAUAUCCUUCAAACUUCUGUACCCUUUCUACAACAGGCUGAGAAUAUAUAGGUUCAUUCUCUAUUAGUUUCAGACCACUAAGAAUGUCAAGCAUGGUAACAAAGCCAUUUCGUUUACCAAGAGUAAGAAUGUGGUCAGACCACCAAGUAAAAUCAACAAUGUCAGCUAAAAUUUCUGAGCAUCCAUUUAACAGUUCAUCAGUCACUUGAGAAUUAGUUCUCACUCUGAAAGCAAAACUCGUAACCAAACAGCUUUCUUUAUCCAGCUUAAAGAUAUGCAAACAUCCAUUCAUAUCCAAAGUGGCAAUAUAAUUUCCUUGGGGUGAGAUUAACACCUUUGGGUAGGCAAGAUGAGCUGCAUAACCUUGUUGCUCACCGUAAAGGCCCUCAAAUUGAGUAGAGGCUACAGGCUCCAAAACCAAAUCCUGACCUUUACGCCAAAGAGAAAGAUAACAGGAUCCUAUAAAGAAUGAUAAAAAGGAACUAUUAAGUCUUAAACUAAAAGGUGAUAAUGGUAAAAGUUCAUCUGCUCAUCCAAUCCUCUAUCAUACAGGUACAAAUGCUUCUUUGAUUAAGUUUAGUACUUUUAACAAAGCCUAGAAGAUUUGAGACAUGCAACAUAAUGGUUUAAAGACAGUUCAAAUUUAAGAUCUGAGUUUUCAUUUAAGGUCAAGGAGAAUAAAGUAUAUAACCAUACCAGAUUUCCUAUCAGCAGUAAUGGAGUUGCCACCAGCACUACCAACAACAACAAGCAAAGAAAGUUCUGGACAAUAGUCAAAGCAGAAAACAUUUCGAGGGAAUUGCUUUUUUAAAGCUAAGCCACUGUUGAUUGUAGAGGAGGAAAUAGAGGCACUUGGCUCUUGAUUGAUCUCAAUUUGAUGAAAAGCUCCAUCAGAUGUCAAAACGGUGAAGCUACACCUGAAAACAAGCCCAUUAAAUACAUGCAUGUAGUAAUUCUUCACCUUCUAUAGUACUUUAAUAUAUUUAGAAAUCCAAGCAACAUGAUCAUCAAGCAAAAGUUGUUAUAUGAAUUCAUACCGGAAAUAAAACUAGCAUGAGUGAAACAAAAGCUUACAAGAAAUACUGUUUUACAUCAGACUCAUCCGGUGCAAUCAGACCUAUUACUUUUGAAGAUACUUUUAGAUGUCUUGUAGUAAUCCUUGUUAUCUCUUCACCAUUUGCUUUAAUAAAAUACACUACAUCAGCAUCAUCAACGAUUCCAAGGAUAUCAUGAGAUUCUGACCAAGCUCCACAUGUACACGAAAUAAUGCUGUGACCUGAUGCAUAGAAGCCAAGUUGGAGACCAUUAUAAACUGCAAGGAACAGCUUCUAUAAAGAACUUAUAAUUCUAACUUUAACCAAAAAGAAAUAUAUUUUCUUCUGCCUCAAGCUAUAACAUGGAAUGAGUACAAUCUUAUACCAAGAACUCUUUUCCUGUAAUCAUCACGAGUUUCUUGUUAUGAAUCUAAAUCACCCCGAACCUUUUAUCUUUCUAUCAGUAAAAAGAAUCUAAAUAUAUGUUCAUCAGAAAAAUAAUUGAGCAUAAAUUAGAUAACACAAAUCUUACUUGUAAAAAUGCCAAAAGGUUCCUGGUAAUCAUCCUCCUUGCGCAAUAUAGUGACUUGAUUUCCAGCAGCCACAGCGACACGCUCACCUCUAGGGGAUACAAUCAAUGACACUGGUUUUUUUAUUUUCUUCGGAUUCUUAUUGCCAACCAAUUUCUCUUUCAGCUGACUUACACCUUCACUCAACAAAAGAAUCAAUUUUUUAAACAAUUCUAUCAACUACAUAUAUUAUACUAAAAACAAAAAUAGUUACUAAUCAUAUCAGUAUCGCAAUUGAAUUACACAAAAAAGAAUAAAGGUGUUUAAAUAAUUAAAUCUAGUAUACCUCGAGAGGAAAGAAACGAUAAGAAACCGCCUUUAUCAGCUUCACUUGACUGAAUUUAGAGAAGAAAAAAUAGAAAAUUGUAAAACUGAGCUGAUUUGUAAGAAUAAAAUAAAGUUAAAGGAAAAGAGGAGACCUGUUGAAGAGGAAGAGGAGGAUAAUUGGAAGUGAAAGGCCGGGAGGCGUGAUGACGUGCUUCGAAUAGCACUUCUCUAACAGAUUCCUCCAUGGCCGGUGCCUUGCGCCAGCUACUGUCCCUCUGUUCUUCAAGAUCUCAAUUCAAUUACCCUUUUUUUUCUCUUUAUUACAUAAAAAAUUAUAUAGAUGAAGAAGAUGAUGAAUCGCAGAACAAAUUACUUGGGAAAAUAACGGGUUGAAAAGGGAAAAAAAACAACAAAAAGGCUAUGAAUAAGACAGCCCAUCUUGGCUGGUCGUUUAAUUACUGCUUCUAAAAAGGGGCCUCUUCAGCCUAAAUGGGCUUUAGAAGCUUUUUCUUUCUCAUUUAGGGUUCAUUAGGCUGCAUACAGUAAAUGAGCUCCAUCCAGAUUUUAGUCUUCAAUCGAAGAGAUCAUGUUAGAGCUGAGAAGAAAAAUCGAAAAAUGGAAAACGAUUUGAAUCUGUUAAGAAAUGGGUAAAAAUAGCUUGUAUACUAGUUAUUCAACUCGAAUUAUAUUUUUAUUUAAUUUAUUAAUUUGUUAUGAAUGUAAAAUUUAUUUUAUAUUUAAAAUAGUAAAAAAUUAACCUUAAAACAUUAUAUAAAAAAUUGUUUUUGAAAAGAUUCUAUAUAAAUAUAUAAUUUAUGGCACAACUAGCCAUAAUGAAUUUCAAUUUUUUUUAAACAUCGCGUAAUAAAAAUUUUAACUAUUAAUGUUUAUAAUUUUGUCAAUUUGACAUUUAUUUGGUAGUUAAAUUUGACUAUCACCAUUUAAAGAGAGUCAAAUUUGACAAUCAAUCUUUUAAAAAAAGCCGAAUUGAUGUUGAAUUUUAAACACGAUAAUCCAAGUGUACUUCAUACUAAUUUUGUUGAAUUUAUAUAUAUUAUAAUUAUGAGCUUUUAUUUUAUUUUUUAUUUUUAUAAAUUUUCAAUUAUUUAUUGAUGUGGCCUAUAUGACAAAUAGUAUUAUGUCAAAAUAAAGUACACGUGGACUAUUACGCAUACAUCGUUAGUCAAUAUUUUCGUUAAAAAAAAUUGACUCUUUAUUAAAGAUUAAUGGUCAAAUUUAACUCAAAAAUUAAUAAAGAUCAAAUUGACAAAAUAUAUAAAUAUUGAGACUUAAAUUUAUCUUAUACUAUAAAAUAUUCAUUUUUUAAAAUACAACGAUAUAAUGCCAACCAAACAUGUCAAAAUAAUUAGAAUUACUUGUACUAACAAUUCCUUAUAAUUAUAAAUUUAGUAGUUACACUUUUUUACAACUACUUGAUAAAAAUAUGAUUGAAGCCCCGAUAUUAGGUGUCUAAUUAUAUUUUAUUUCCUCUAUUUAAAAAAUGGACAAAUCAAUCAAUGUACAUUAGAUAAAAAAGCAAAUUGAUCUCCUUUUUUAAUAAAUUUAAUCCAUUUUUAUUGUUAGAAACUAAUAUGACUGAUAGAAUAACAAAACAAUGACGUGUGAUGUGUUAUAUAUACUUCAUGCUAAUAUAUAGAAACUAUUUUUUAAUAAUAAAAAUAAAUAAAAAUUUUAACAAAAAAAGACCAAUUUACUAUUUAAUCUAAUAUGAAUAGAAUAUAUUCAUUUUUUAAAUAAAAAACAAAAUACAAUUUACCUAUUAAUACAAGUAUAUCGAUAAUACUUUUACCCAACUACUCCAUAAUAUCCAAAUAUAAUCUAAUAACCGUAGUAUUGAAACACUUAAAAAAAUUAGGGACCACUUCUCAUUCAUCUUUUUUUAUUUAUUUUAACCCAGAUUAUUUACACGAAUUAGCACUAACCUCGCACUGAUACAGCCCACUAUUAGUUCCCAUGCAUACAUGCCUGACUGAACUUUACCUGACUUUUUUUUAUCUAUAAUCGAAUCUAUUCUAAGCCCUACGAUUUUAUAAAUCCACCUUUACCAAACAAAUCAGCUAUACAAUCUUUACAUUUUCAAUUCCGGGUGUGGUUGACGGCCGCAGCCGGCGGCGACCUCAACUUUCCCUAUUGACUUCGUAAGGAGCUAUAUAUAAUGGUGAUAUCCGUAUUCAAGAUUGUAUUAUAUCAUAUUAUGUUUUAUAUAUAUACACAUAAUCUGAUUAUGGGACAUUCAAAAUAUGUAUAAAAAAUUACAUGAUAAAUUUAUAAUAAAAUAAUUGACAUAUAAAUCAAGUACUUUGGAGGUAUUUAUAUUAGGUAUUAGAUUACAUUUUGUCUCUUCUAUUAAAAAAUAAGCAAAUUAAUCAUUGUACGUUAAAUUAAAGAGCAUUUUGAUCCUUCUAUUAAAAAUGUCAUCCAUAGAUGCUGUUAAAAAUUAGUCUCUAUAUAUUAGCAUAAGUUACACGUGACACACCAUAUAUAAUUGUUUGGUUAUUCUGUCAGCCACGUCAUUUUUUUUACAUGUUUAUUACAAGGCUAUUCUUUUAUUUACUUGGCUACAAAAUAAGUAUUUUUUUUAAAUUUCAAAAUGUUCCAUAAAAAAUUUAACAAAAAAAGUGGCUAUGUUAACAACUGGACUUGAAUUUUGAAAUAUACAAAGUAAAGGGACUAAAUUUCUGAAAAUAAAAAUAGAGGAAUUAAAUUUUAAAUUUAUGAAUAAUAAAAAUUUUAGUUAACAUAUGAUAAAAUUACACUUUAACUCCUCUAAAAUGAAAAAAUAUUAUGUUUAGUCCCUUUAGAAUAAUAAAAUUAUAUUUUGAGUACUUAAAAAAAUGUACCUAUUUUGGAAUGUAACCCUUAGAAACACCUGUAAUAUGAAUUGACUGCUAUAUAUUCUUGAUAUCUCUUCAUUUUUCACUGUCUAAUAACAUGACCGGAAAGGAAAUAAUAAUUGUUUAUUAGAUCAAUGCUUCUUCUUUUAUCAAGAACCUCUCGCAUGACACACAAAUUGUCUUUGUUCUUUCGUUAAUGUGACACCUUUGCUCGAUUAAGAAAGCCAACUAAUCAGAGUAAGAGGAACCUUUGAAUUUCUCAAAAAAAGCUGUGGAAGGAGAUGAGGAUUCUUGUCUCUUAACAAAAGGAUUACUUGGUUUAGAUUUCCUUCCAUUUCUUGUAUCGUCUAAAACUGAUUUUUCUUCUCCUUUUUUAAAGAAAGGAUCCAAUAUAAGAAAACUUAUACAAAUGUUUGCUAACAACGCUUUGACAUUAACAUUUUAGGUUCGACUUUUAUAUUGCUUAAAUUAUGUGUGAGUUGUCUUCACUUUUAUUAUGGUAUGAUUUAAGUUCUAUUCAACUUUUUCUUUUUAAAUUCAAACAGAUUAAAUUAUCCGAGAGGUCUCUGUAUUAUAGAGACUGAAUCAAUUAAUUUAAUCCUUAUGCUAUUAAAUAGAAUUAUAUAAGUUUAAAUUGUAAUAGAGUUAAUAUUUAUUGUAUAAAAAAAUGUAUUGAAAGUUAUUCUUUUCAAUUAUAGUUCAGUUCCAAACAAAAGAUUUCAUUUACGAAACAAUAAAGACUUCAAAAAUAUUAACUCUAUAAAUGAUAUUUUUUAUGGGUAAUUAUUUGAUAUAUCGCUAGUCAAGUUUCUUAAACUCCACAAAUGGGUUAAGAGUGUGACAAAUGUCACAUUUAUUUAUGUAAAUACUUUUUUUAUUCUUUUACUACACAUUAUAAUACACUUGUCAAGCCCUUAACCCACUUGUGGAGUAUAUAAAAUAAUUUUUCAUUUUUUAAACAAUAAAUGUUAACUCUAUUAACCUUAUUUUAUUCUCUUUAAUAGUAUAAAUACUAAUUUAUUCUAUUUAAUAAUAAAAUAAUUAAUUUGAUUAAAUUUUUAUAAUAGCGAGACUCUUCGUAUUAAUCCUACUUGAUUUUGAUUUAAAUGUAUAUUCCUUCUACCUAUACUUGUAAAUCUUAAAAGUUAUUUUAUUCUUAUUUAGUAUUUUUUAUUAAAUAACGAUAUUGGAUUCCAUAAAUUUGAAAUUUAAAUUAAAUUCUGAAUUAUUUUAGGUACUUAAAAAGAAAAUAUACACAAAAGAAAAUUCAAGCACGUGAGAGGCUAUAGUGGAAUGUGUGUUUUAAUUAUAAACACAGCUGUUCAUGAAUUUAUAUCUACCUAAUUCUCUUCUCUGUAUAUAUAAUAUAAUACUCGAGGCUCAACCCUAGACAGAGGGGAAGUACGGUGUUUCCAAGACAAGCAGCUGUUGAUAAAAAAAACAUUAACAUAUUUUAUCCUAUCCAUGUAACUUUAUGUCUUUUCCGUUCAAUGACACCCAAUGAACGUUCGAACCAAAUUGGAACGCUACAAAGUGGGGGGGACCUUCUUCAUCUCUUUUUGUAUAUAUAAAAUUCUAAUUAUUCAACCAACUUUCCGACUUUGAGAAUCAACCGUGCUAUAUUAUUAUGUGCAUAUAUUAGUAGAUAAUUUAAUUUGAUUGAAUUGGUUCUCAAUUAAAAAGAAUAUAAUAUUAUUAUAUUAAUUGAUAACAUUUUAAAAAUAUUAAAUAAUUAAUUUUUUAAUUAUUAUUACAAGCCGAUAAGAUUUUUAUAUUAAAAAUUAUAUUAUAUUUAAAUUAAUUAAUUUUUAUACGUUAGAUUAAAAUAAUAAAUUAAUUUUUUAUUAAAAAAAUUAUUAAUUUUUUACUAUUAAAAAAUUAAUCAUUGUAUGUUAGUAAGAGACACGCGCAUUUUUUCCCAUAAAAAUAGAUAAAAAUUUCUGUUAUAUAAUCUAACAAGCAGUAAAAAAUCUCAAUAAUAUUUUUAACGAUGGAUGGCGCAUGCUUUUUUCACUGUUGGUGAUGAUCGGCUCGAUGAUCGGUGGGUCCGCCAUGACACGUGCAUUCGUGUUUAUACUAUUCCUACACAUGUACGUGCGAAUCAAUGACUAAAUAAUAUAAGUGUAGAACCAUACUGGAAAAUGGAAAGCAUCAUUUUGCACACAUUUGUUGUUGCCCAUUCUUUUUUAUAGUCAUUUACUUUUUAAACGAAUACAUGGAUUUAUUUACGUUAGAAAAAUAACUAUUUUUAUUAUAAUUGAAAAACUAUUAUUUUUAUAAGAUAAAGUUAAUUAUAUAAAAUUUUACUUAAACAUUAAUUUUAAAUUGUAAAAUGAAUGAGAAAUGACAUGAUAAUUUUUAAAUGACAUAAAAACAGUUCUCAUAAAAUAAACAUACAUUUAUUUUUUAUAUUUGUACAAAAAUACUAUAAUAUAUAUAUAUAUUUUUUGGUACAAAAUGACCAUUCGAUUCCUUUUUUUCUACCUAUAAAGAUUAAAAUUAACUCUGCCUUAGUAUAUAGUGAUGUGUACAAUAUUAAUUACACCUCAUUUUACAUUCUAUUCUAUUUUUAAGGAAUUAAUUAUGAUGAUAAAAAAUAUGAGUUAAUAUUUGAUACAAUGAUAGUAUAUAUUUAUUUUAAAAAUAAUAUAUUAAAAAAUUUAUUAUGAGUUUUUUUUUCAUAUUUUACUUUAUUUAUAUAGGACACUUGUGAACCUUGAACCAAUAUUAUUUAUAGAGUCUAAAAACUCUACUUAUAAUAUACUAAAUAUUUUUCUAAAGAAUAUUAUCCUAACUUAUAAAAAAAUAUAUAAAGCGUGGAUGGUAAGAUAUGCUAAUAAUAGGAUUCAACAAUAUUCAACAAUAUCGAAUGGUAAUGGGAAUACCUAAAUCUUAAAUCAUGAUCAAAAUUCCCAAAGGAGGCAUGCAUCAACAGUGAAGGGACUGAAAAACCCUUCAGCUCUGCUCCUAUUUAUAGGAGGGGAAGGCGGUUGAGUUCAAGUCGUGGAAUUGAAAACUGAAAAACUCUGAAUAUAUAUUUGUGGGGGGAGUAGACACGACGUGAUAUUAUUUCGGUUCAUCUUAUUGUGAUUAAAAAUUUCAAGGCCAGCCGAAUCAAUAUCACUCAUGUAUGCUUUUUCUUUAUUAUUAUUGAUUUUUAAAAAUGAAAUUUUAGAAAUUUUAUUGUAUCAAUAUCAUACAUGUUAUUAUUAUUAUCGGAUUAAAAAAAAAGAAUUUCAGGAAAUUUACUGUAUUUGCUGCAAAAUCAUGGUACGUGAUAACCAUCCAUUUCUUUGAUCUGUUUCGUGAAUAUUAUCUUCUAGGUUAGAAUCAACUUCUUCAUACAUCCAGUCCCCAUUCAAUCUUUGGAUCUCUUCCACUUCAUCAUGCUUCAAUUUUUAUAUAUAUACAUAUACAUAUAUAUAUCAACCUCGUCCCAAGAGACCAAAGUCAGCUAUUAGUCAAGGACUAGCUUGCCAGCCUAACUCGCCUAGCAUAGCUCUUGCUGCUCAACUCCUGCACACUCAAACAUGUGGAACUCAUCUCUCCAGCCUUGCCGAAUCAAAAGGUCAUGUCCCUUUCCUACAUGGUCGAUACGUGAAGCCCAUCAAGUCUUUUCCACAUCAUGUCUCCAAAUCCAUCAAGUCCAAUUGCUGCCUAGCUAGAAGGUUAUCUCUACUCCCCAACCACUUACCAGGACAAACGCCCCUCUUGCAGGAAAUGGGUACACACCAAAACUCUACCAAAAUUUCUCGCAACACCAUUCAACCUCUCCUCUUACGACUCUCUGCACGACCUCAAAUGCCGCCAUUCUCACCCUUCAACUUUUCAUUAUAUCAAUAUAUAUAUAUGAUCACUUUAAACAUGUUUGUAGCUUAAAUUAUAUAUGUGAUGGAAUAGAAAUUAAAUUAGGGUUUGAUCUUUAACUCAGCGUAUAAAAAUUAAGAUCGAUCAUAUCUCCUUUUACAAAUGAAACUUGUCUUUUAAGCACUGUGUUGUGAUUAACUUAAUGCACAUUAGAAGUGGUGGCAAAAAUCUGUGCAUAAAUUUUACUUCACUGAAUAACUAAAAUCUUAUCCAUGCAUAUCAAUCCCUUAUAACACAUCCAAAAAUAUCAUGAUCUAACUUCAAAAUCCUUUGCACUUUUAAUGUAUGUCUCAAGUCUGACUAGAUCAAUGACAUUUUUUCUCCCUAUGAAACUACUGUUACAAGUUAAAAGACAAAACAUACCAAGUGUUAAAACAUGUCAAAUUUAAUCAAUAUGAAACUUUAGCCUGCCAUAAACAUUUCUUUUUUUGGCAUUUUCGUUAGACUAAUAUUUGGAGAAAAUACAUUAUAUAAUGCAAUAAAGGUUAGGCUAUCGUUAUACCAGUUGACAAAACAUGUCACAGAUGAAGAACAUCUGUGACAAAACAUCUGGUACAAAAUGUAGCUCUUAAGGAUUGACAAUUUCGCUAAGAAAGACUUGACAUAGCCGAGGAUGCAGGGCCAACAAAAUCAUUACCUUACAUACUUGCCUAGUUUGGACAAAAGGGGCAACCAAUCAUUAUGCAUUUCCAUGCUAUGGGUAGCCUGUUAAGCGGUCUAAAAUCAGGUAUAAAUACUCACUCCCACGCUAUAGAUUUUUUAGUGUUUUAUUAUCAUAAGCUCUUAUUUUCCUCUUCACAAUAACUCACGCUUCAUAAAUUUAGUUUUAGGAAUUUAGUAAAUUAGUUGGUGUAAUAUUUAAAAAAAAAUCACUUGAUAUCAAAUAUAAUUAACAAAAUGACUAGAUUAAUGAACUUGAAUUUACAAAAUAAUUAUAAUAGUGUUAACGGUUGGACUUGAAUUUUAAAAUAUGAAAAGUAAAUGGACUAAAUUACUAAAAAUAAAAAGACUAAAUUUCACAUUUAUAAAUAAUAUAAAGACUUCUGACAUAUUUUAACUCCGUAAUCCAAAGUUUAGCUCAACCGUUCAUAAAUCCAACCACUAACCUAAUUUAUGAUGGGGAGUACAUAAAGAGUUAUAUUGUCUACUAAAAUAACAAAAGAUUUAUAUUGAACUUUUUUACACCAAUUCUUGAUUGGAUCUUUAAUAAUCUCUAUGUUUUACCUCUGAUUUACAUAUAUUGAUGGUACAAUUUAAGGUGAUCAUUAGUUGGGUGUGGAUUGUGGAAUUUGAGCUUAAAACACCGACAGUUUCUCCCAAGAUGAAAGGCAGAGGCUCAACGCUAAGUUCAGUGGAGUUGUCAAACUUUAAACCUUUGACAUUUUAUCUAUUAUAGGGAUUGAACUAAAUUAGUUUUACUAUUAAAUAGGUUAAUGUGCAAAUUUAUCACUAUACUUUAUUUUGAUUAAUAUUUGCCAUUGUACUUUUGAGUUAAAAAUUAAUAUACCACUAUGUUUUAACUUUAUCUUGAAUUUUGCAGUUUUAAUUUUUAUUGAUUUUUGUAGCUUUAAUUUUUUAUUGAAUUUUAUCACUAAAAUUUAAUUUUUAUUAAAAUUUACUAUUUAAUUUUAAUUUAAAAUAAAUUGAAGAAAAAAAUUAAUAAAAAUAAUAUUUUAAUUUAAUACGUAAAUUAUUAAAUUAAUAUUAUAUUGACAAUUAAUAAAAAAAUAUUUAUAUAUAAAAAGUAAACUUAAUAUUUUUAAAAUUUUUAUGUUCAAGUAUUUCUUUUAAUAAAUAAAAUUCUAAAUAAAAUAUACUAUUUUUAAUAUUUAUAAAAUGAAUUAAUAUUAAUUAUUAAAAUAAAAACUUUCUUGUUAAAAUUUAUUUUUAAAUCAUCAAAAUCAAUAUUAAGAAGUAAAAGCUAAUUAAAAAUUAAAAUUAAUGAAAGAAAUGAAUAAAAUUAAAAGUUUAGUGAUAAAAUUCAAUCACAUAACCGUUGUGAGGGAAAUUUAACCAUAUUUAUAAAAUAUAAUGACAAAUAUUAAUCAAAAUAAAAAACAAUGAUAAAUUUCAAUAUUCACCAAUAGUAUGGUGACAAAUUUACAUUUUAACUCAAAUUUAAUUUUUGUAUUAUCAAUUGGAAUAGAAUUAACAUUUAUUAUUAAAAAAAACUUGAAAAUUAUUUUUUAUAUUUAUAGUUGAACUUUAAACAAAAUAUUUUAUUGUAAAAUUAUAAAAAGCUUUAAAAAUAUAACUCCAUUAAACAUUAAAUUACAUUUUUUAAACAAUAAAUAUUAGAUCUGUUGAAAUUUAACCCUUUUUUCUGUUUCUUUUCAAUAUUUUAUGGGUUAAAUUAAAUUAAUUAAUUUAAUAAUAAAACAAUUAAUUUAAUUCGAUCUCUAUAAUAAAGGACUUAUCGAGUACAUUUCAUAUUAAUUUUGAAGAUUCAAUUAAGAUGUUUAAAAGUAUUAAAUAAAUUUAAAUAAUUUUAAUAUAAUAAAAAUAUAUUAAUUUUAAGUUUUUAUAUAAAAGAAAAACAUCAGCAAAAAGCUCAUAAAUGUUAGGUUGACUUUGUAUAUUAGACACUUAACUAUUGCAAGCAACAUGCAAUGUAAAAUUUUCAUUUUAUUUCGGAGAUAGGAAUAGGGAUGAGCGGAAUUCUGUUUAAAAUAAAAACCAGUAAUUUCCAAAAAUUUUCGCAUCAAAUUUUCCGCCAAAUAACAACAAUGGCCCCAUUUCCACAAAUAACAAUGGCUUCCUUUUUUUUUUCUUUCAAACAAAGCAAAAGCGUAUAGCUUCAAUGGAUAACUCCUCGGGACUCUGUUAAAACUGCUGUAAUCAAAGAGACCAAAGCUUCAAACUUUUAAAGCCCUUUGAAGACAAACACAUUUUGCUUUGAUUUACCGACCAGCGAUGUUGGAGCCAUCUUCUCAAAAACCCAAUUUCUUAAUCCCACAGGUGUCGCCAACUCCGGCGGCUCCACCGCCACCAAUGGCACAACCACCUCCAUCACCACCGCCACCUUCUCUAGUACGCACCUACUCCGGCAAGUUACUGUCUCUUCUAUCCGAAAGACCUUCCCUUAGGGCGACUUCGGAGUUCGACAGUGACAGCCGUGUGUUCUUUCACAAGGUGUCGUGUAAGCUGUUCGACAACCUGGCCAGUCUCAAAUUGUCGUUCAUCAACGAUAGCAAACGCGAGAUCUCGGAACCGCAGUUGAUGUUAACGUCAAAGUACUUGUCUAUCCAUUACGAUCCUGAUGAACAAAAUGCUCUCAUUAGGACCUCUUUUGAUGUGGGUCCUAUGUUGAAUUUCAAUGUUGCCCAUGAUCUCAAGGUUUGCCCCCUUUUUUUUCGUUUAAAAACAUAUAUAUAUUUACUUAGUGGUGUUGAGUUAGUUGGUUGGCAUUGUCAAUGAAAAUUAUAUAGUUAUUGUUUACUCUUUUAUUGAGAUGCAUGGGAGGUUUGAGAGAUUGUUUUUUUGGUAAUAUUUAAUAAGAUGCAGCCCGAUUUGUGCAUUGGAGGUGCAAGUUUUCAUGAAAUUGAUGAUGGGAUUUUACUGAAAUUUUCUCUCAUAUUGAUUCUUGAAGACCAUUUUGUUCAUCCUUUUGCAUUUGGAUUUUCAUCUUAAAAACCUCCAUUUUCUUUUAGAUGAUGUACUUUUUGGAAUCUGAAAAUUGUUAUUGCUUCUGGAAUCAAUGCUAUCAAUAGGGGUAUUAAAAGUGGCAUUGGUGCUCUCAAGCUAUUUGAGAUUUAUUGACUUGAACUCGAGCUAUUAAUCAAAUUAAAUUCGAGCAGUUUAUAAGUCUAAUCAAACAUUUUGUUUUAAUAUGGUUUUAUAUUAUAAAAUUACAUUUUUACUCUUGUUAUAUAGAAAGAGCUUAAGUACAAACGAGCUCCAGCUUGACUACGAAUGAGCUUAAUUGAGCUUGAGUUCGAUCUUAAGUACGAAAAUUUAUAAGCAAGCUUAAUCCAGUUUGAUUAAGCCUUGACCCAAGCUCUAGCUUAAAAAUUAAUGUUUAUUCAAGCUCAAGCCGAGUAUUGAGCUUUGACUUCCAAGUUGAACUCGUGCUUGUCACUAUUCAGGUUUGGUUCGGCUCAAUUACACCCCUAGCUAUCACGGUUGUUAUUUUGAACAUUUACUUCAAGCGACGUAUGUUGUCCCGUUAAUAUUUGUAUUUUUCUCAGGCACAACAAGGUGAGGUGUCUAUGUAUGCAAGCCUUCCCAGUCCCGGCUUUGGUGUCCAAGUAUCAUCUUCUUUUCCAUAUUCUGGUUUGGUGAGUACUAUUUUUGUCCUAAGUAUCUUCCUGUAAUAAUCAACCAUUUAUAGCAUUAAGUUCUAGACAAUUGGAGACUUAAAUACCUUAAUGUUCUUAUACUGAUAGCAUGACAGCACUUAUUCAUAUUAGUCCCAUUAAAUAUUUAUCUGAACAUAGAGUUUGAAAAAGUAUCCGGUAAUUCCCGUUCAGCCGGUUUUCGUGGUUCUGACUAUAGUUUUCAAAGGUGCAACCUGUGCUUUAGGCAUUAGAAUCCUUGUGUUUCUUGAGGCAUAAGGCACAAAAGAAAAAACCUUACUUAAGUGAAGUAAGACACAAUAUGUAAUAAUGUGUGAUUUGUUACUUUUGUAUAUGUAUUUGUGUGUGUAUGUGUUUUGCCCUUACAAAAAAAAUGAGUCCGAGUCCACCAGACAUAUGUCCGAUCAAAUGUAUGCUGCUUGAAAGGGUAUAAGAUGCUUUUGUUGUUUGACACUUAGAUACAGUGCUUAGGUGCAUGCCUUAACAUGUGUCUGAUUACUGGUAUUGCUGUUGUGUUUUCGUGCCUAUGCAUUAUCACCCGUCCACCGCGCUUCUUUUCCGCUUUAAUAUAUUUAAACAAGGUUAUAGCCUCUCUCUUUUUUGCCCUCUAAUUACCUUCUGUUACUUUCCUCUCGCUGCAGCCUAGAGCAACGAUUAGAUUCCCGAUGGGUGAAGUUACAUUGGAGGAGAGAGAGGAGGCGGAUGUACUGAGAACAUUGUCGGUAAAGGGAAUUCUUAGAGGUCAAAUUUUAAACGGGGUCUGUUCCGCUCAUUACGUUGAUGAAGAACUGAAAUUAAGAUACAUAUAUAAGGUGGUUAUUCCUCAUUGUUAUAAAAGCUCUGCUUCUGUUCCUGUUUAUGUGCAAAAUUUUGAGUUUGUGGGUGUUUUCUUUUACUAGAUGGUUUCGAUGUUUUUGUCGAAUUGCAGGAUCAAGCAAUGUCGUUUAUCCCUAGCAUUUCGAUACCGUCGAAUGCUGUAUCAUUUGCAUUCAAGCGACGUCUCAGUCCAUCUGAUAAAUUGAGGUUAGAACGCUGCAAUUUCUUUUAUUUUGCUCAGGACAUAACGAGCUCUUUUCGCAGUGGUGUCUGUUCUAUCGAAGUGUUUUUAUGAUCGGUUUUCGAACUUAUCCGCAGCUACUGGUACAAGCUUUAUUCGAACAAUUGGAGUGCUGUGUACAAGCACACAUACAAGAAAAGCUUCAAGCUCAAAGCUGGAUAUGAUUCAGAAGUCCGUCUCGGUUGGGCUUCUAUAUGGGUAAGCUCUUUCUAUUUGCCGAACUUUGUCAUCCUCGAAAGCAAGGCUCUCGUUGUUUACUCGAAAUAACUCAUAAUAUCCUCGUUUCAGGUUGGAGACAAAAACGGCAGGGCAAGGACAGCCCCGAUGAAGAUGAAAGUCCAGUUUAUGUUACAGGUACCGCAGGAUGACAUUAAGUCAUCGACGCUAAUGUUCCGAGUUAAAAAGAGAUGGGAUAUAUUGUAGUGUAGUCCCGUGCCUGCGACAUCCUCGUCUCGUUUCUCUCUUUAUAUUUGCAUAGUUUCUUUUGACCUUUUACGACGCUUCGUAAUGAUGCUAACUGUUAUAUAAUCACAUCAUUAUAUAUUUUGAUCAUAUCUGCUGUUUUUGAGACAAUUUCUAGAAGUAUUAUAGCUCCUCUUCAACCCAUAAAUAGAAGGACAAUAUGUUUCAAAGCACUCGAAUACACAAUCUCCUGCAUUAACAGCAAUGCUUAUGUUAAUCAAGUUAAGACUCAAUCGAUAAUUAAAUAUUAGUUAAAUAUUCAUUAUAUACUUAUUACAUGAAUGGUUUAAAUUUGAUGUAUUAAAAAAAUUAUUAUAAUUAAAUUUGUGAUUCAUUAUAUACUUGCAAAAGAAUAGUGCAAGUGCACAUGACUUAAAUAUUCAUUUAGUCCUUAAAUUUGUUAUUCACCCUCAAGUUGGUACUUAUGAUUCUAAGUUGGCAUUCGAAUUUUUAUUUUGUGAAGUCUUUUUAGUACUUCAUUGUAAUGAUGUUAAGUUUGGUAUAUGUGACAUUUUUAGACAGUGAUACGUGGUAAUGUUGACAUUAUUAUGAUAUCAUAAUUUAUUUUUUGAAAAAAAAUAAAAAUCUAUUAUUUAAAAAAAAUUUAUAAACUUUUUAAAUCAUAAAUUUUUUAAAUAAUUAGAAAAGUUAGAAAACUCUAAAAAUAUAUAAAAAUAUAUACAAAUUUAAAAUGUUUUGUUAAUAACAUGAAUAAAAUUAUUAAAAUAUUAUUAAAUAAUUAGAAAGGGGUAUAGAAGAUUAAGAUGCCUUUUUUUUAUUUAUAUUCCAUACACUAUCCAGAAAAAAAGAAGAAGAAGAAUUUGUAUUUAAUUUAUUGGUACCUUUCUUUUUUAUAUUCCCAUUCAAAUCUAAAGGAUAGAUUAGGAUCUAUAUCUAUUAUCAUAUAUAAAUCGAAUUGAUGAAAUAAACAAAAUGCAAAAAAAAUCUUUCUUUUUCUAUCUCACCCAGUUUUUUGUUGUCUUACAUUUAUAAUUUAUACAUCUCCAUUUAUACACGAAAACUACAUUAAAAUAAAAAAUGUAAAACCCAUUUUAUCUACCUAUGCAAACUUGAAUUUGAUUUUUUUUUCCAUAAAUUGGUAAUUGGUCAAUCUCGAAGAGAGGGUAUGCCCAAUUUUCAUUUUCAACCAAAUUCGAAUGAGACUCGUAGUUAAUCUGUUGAAGGAUACAUAAUUUUGAAAAAAAGAGAGAAUAUUUUAUUACAUUAAUAGUCAUUUUUCUUUUAAUUAUAUGUAAAUAUAAAGAAAAUAUCGGAUAGUCUUUCCUACAAGAAAAUGUUCAUUUAUUGUAGUGGAAGAAAAUCAAUUAGUUCCGCGAUGAAAAUGAACUAGUUAAUAAGUUCAAAUAAGCAAACUCAAAUAAUUCGUUUUUCUUUUAAAUUCUAGGACAUCCUAUGAUUUAUAUCAUACUUUUUUGGGGGAAAUUCUUUGUAUUUUUUAUCGAUGUAUCUAACUUAUUGUAAAUAGAAAUUACUGUAAUAUGUAUUAAUAAUAAAUAAUAAUUGAUACUUUCAGAAAAAUAUUACUAUAAUGAAAAAAAGAAUUCUUUUAUUUUUCAUUAUAGUAACUUGGUGAGAUCAUUUGAUUACUUCUAAUUUCGAAAUUUGAAUAUUUUUGAAAUAGUUGCGAAAGAUUAAAAAAUUAAGAAUAGAAAUUUUCAGUUAACUUUAUAAUCUCUCGAUUUUUUUAUUGCUCCUUUUCAAUCAAAAGAGAUAAGAGCUGGUGAAUCAGAAACGAUUAAUUAAGAAAGAAUAACAAUUUUUUUUAUGGACCAUGCAUAUUAGUAUUCAUGGAUCGUACCUUUUGUUCCACUUACAAUUCCUAUUUUAAUAGGAAUGAGACUCUUACUGUAACAACCUCUUUUUUUGUGGUGUCGAAAAUAGUAGUUUCGGGGCCACCAAAUUCGACGAGUAAGUUUGUAAAUAUUAUUAUUUAAUAUUUACGAGUCAAAUGUGAUUUUUAAAAAGGUUUUUGAUUUGAUAAUUUAUGUUAUAUAAGUGAUUUAUUAAGUUCAAGUGGUUUUAGAAAAUAAGGUAUCGGGACCUUGUUUUUAUAAACUGAGCCGUAAAUAUUUUUAUAAAUAUUUAUGGAGUGUCAUUAAGGUGGUAUUAAAGUUUCAUUAAGAAAUUCUAACGUUUCGAUGGUUAAUUAAUUAAAAAAGAUCAAAUUAAAAAAGUACAUUCCUGGGACUCCGUUCCUGUAAAUCAGACUCGUUUGUGUAGUUAAUUAGGUUUCAAUUAAAUGAAUUUGCUUGAAUUAAAAGUAAUUAGAUAUAAGAACUAAAUUGCAUAUAAUAUAGAGUGAAAAUUGAAUUAUAGAUUAAAGAAAAAUUAAAGGGACUAAAGAAGCAAUUAUGUCAUUAUUCUUUAACAAGGUGGCAUAAGUUAAGAUAUUUAUAAAUUUAAUAUAUAUAAUAAUAAAAUAUGUUUUACUUAAUUAUUAAGAGUAUAUAUAUUAUAUUAUAUUAAAACAAAACAAAACAAAACAAAUAAAAAAUAAAUAAAAAGAAAGAAAGAAAGAAAAGAAAAAGGAAAGAAAGGAAGGAGAAAGCCACGGUUUUAGUGGCUUUAAUUGUUCAAAGUUUAAUUGGUUAGUCAAUUUAGUCCAUUUUUCUUUUAAUUUUUAUGUUUUCGGAAUCCCGAUAUUAAAUAGUACCCAACCCAUGACAAAAUUUUAGAAAUUAUUGAGUUUUUAAAUGUUGUUAAUGUUGAAUAAUUUUAGUAUUAGAGAUUAAAUUAAUAGAUUUUUAAGUUAGAAGUGAAAAAGGAUUGAAUUGUAGAAUAAAUUGUAAAUUUUGAGUAAUAGGGACUAAAAUGUGAAAAAUUCAAAAUUUAGGGAUUUAAGUGAAAUUAGAGAGUUAAAUCUAGUUUACAGUGGCAAUUGAAUGAAAAUAUAGAAUUGAUUGUGAAGAAAUAAAAUUAGUCUCGGUUUAGGGACUAAAUUGGAAUUUUGACAAAUGUUGAGUAAAAAUUGAAAUAUGCAAUUGAAUUGUAUUGUAUUGUAUUGUAUUGAUGAAUUUUAAUUGUUUUAAUUUCGUAGCUAACGUCAUACCGGAAUCCUCGACUAAAAAGGGGAAAGAUAAAGUCGACGAGGAAUAGUUCGGAAUUUUUGGUUUGUAUUUCUAUAAUCCGAAUUUAAUUGUUAAUUGUUAUAAUUCAAUUUAAUGUAUAUAGUAAGUGUUGAGGUGAGAAUUAUUAUGUUUUGCAAUUGAAAUGGAUUGAUUUAGUAAUGUGAUGAAUUUAUUGAAUUUAUAUUGAUUGAAUUGGUAUAUAUAUUGAAUAUAUUGAUUAUUUGAAUUGAAAUGAAUAUUGGUUGUAUUUGAAAAGUGAAUUGAAACCCUAUUAACUGUAUCGGGUUGAGUCGGAUAUAGAUGGCAUGCCAUAGGAUUGGAAAAGUUCAAGGAUUUCUUCGACUUCGAGUCGAUGAAACAUUGGGUGUCAAUUUACUACUUCGGAUUAAUUUGAUGAUGCAUUGGGUGCCAAUUUACUUCGGUUUAACUGAUGAGGCACUAAGUGUCAAAUUAUUACUUCGAAUUAUCCGAUGAGGCAUUGGUGCCAAACUGGUGUGUUUUGGUUGGAUCUGUGUAUCCGUCCGAGUCUGAGUCGUGUUAAUAGGGGUAAAUGAAUAAUAAAGUUUUAUAAUUGAUAUUGAAAUGGUAUGGUAUGAGAAAUGGAAGUGAAAUAGUGAAUUAAAAAUAGAAUGUGAAAUAUGCUGCAAAUAUAUGGAAUAUAUGAGUUAUAUACUCAUGAAAUGACUAUGGAAUGAAUAUUGCAAUUGUAUAAUGAAAUGUGAAAUAAAUUGUGAAAAUCUAUUUAUAUAGCAAGUAUGAGAAUUGAGAUAUUUGUGAAACAAAUGAAAUAUGAUAUGGUUGUUGUAAUAAUUAAAUAUUAAUAUGUGUUUAUAUUUCAAUUGUAUAUUUGUAAUUUCUUAUCUUUAAAUAUUCGGAUUAUAGAAAUACCACUGAGUUUAUACUCAGCGUACGGUUUUGUUUUCCCUGCGUAAAUUAGGCACUUAACUUUUGAUCGCCGAUUUAGCAUCCAACAACGACCCCGAACUUAAAUGUGGUGAUGUUUAUCCUUUGUGUCAGCAUGUACCUAGGAUGUCUAAAUCAUAAUUAUUUUGUGGUUUGAUUGUAAAUGAGGUUAUAAGUUUAAUUUUGGUUGGUUUUAUACAUAUAAAUAUGUGUUUGUUUUUGAAGUCAUAUUAUGACAUGAUAAAUUGAACUAAAUCUAGAUAGGUGCAUGUAAUUUUAAUUCUAUGUUUAAGUGCUCGUGAACUAGGCAAAUUGAUUUGGAUUUAGUAUGUUUAUAAUUUAGAUUAAAAUGAUGCUUUGAUGACUUAGGGUGGGUUUGGAUGGGCGAUUGGGUGCGGUGCGGUGCGCUUAGAUUACUUUUUGUCUCACGCUACAGUAUUGCUACACUAUCUAAUCUCACCGCCACCGCUGUUUUUAUACUAACCACAGGUAAACGCACCGCCCAUCCGAACUCACCCUUAUUUUGAUGAUAUAAAAUGUUUAAAAUUUCUGUCUAUUUGAUCUGUAAACUCCGGUAAUGCUCCGUAACCCGGUUCUGGCGAGGGAUACAGGUUGGGGAUGUUACACUUACUUUUUUCGAAUGCAACAAAAACUCUUCGUCGUAUGUGGGCUUUUCCCAAUAUUUUAUUGUUAAGUAUAGUUAUAAUUUUUUUCUCUCGAUCUGUCUAUUUAGUAAAUAAAUGGAAGUUCUAUCUAUCAAUAUGUAUGGUCUUGGACCAUCAAUAAUGAUUUUUCUUUCGAGUUUGGCUACUUUAUUGAUUCACUUACCGAUCUAUUAUGUCAAUAUUAAUCACUACUGUUGGAUUUUUUGUUCUUAUUUAUAGUGACAAUUAUAUGUCUCAUGAGGAAGGAUAUUUGAGAUUUUUUGCUUACAUGAGUUUGUUCAAUGCUUCAAUGUUGGGAUUAGUUACUUGUUCGAAUUUGUUACAAAUUUAUAUUUUUGGGGAACUAGUUGGAAUGUGCUCUUAUCUAUUAAUAGGUUUUUGGUUCACACGACCCGCUGCGGCAAAUGCUUGUCAAAAAGCGUUUGUAACUAAUGGGAUAGGCGAUUUUGGUUUAUUAUUAGGAAUCUUAGGUUUUUAUUGGAUAACGGGAAGUUUCGAAUUUCAAGAUUUGGUCAAAAUAUUUAAUAACUUGAUUUAUAAUAAUGAGGUUCAUUUUUUAUUUGUUACUUUAUGUGCCUCUUUAUUAUUUGUGCCAUCAUCAUUGAAUUGAAUUAAUAAAUAUUCAAAUAGAUAGAAUAUAUAGAAUUUGCAUAUCGAGCGGGUAGCGGGAAUCGAACCCGCAUCGUUAGCUUGGAAGGCUAGGGGUUAUAGUCGACGUUGAUUCAUUAUUUUUAGCGUCUUUAAUUCAAAACCGAAUAUGAAAUUUUGGUUUCAUUUGGCUCCUUUAUGGAAGAUGGAUAAAAAAAAGAAUAUAAAUAAGAUAAAGGUAAGGCAGUAACGAAAUGAAAUAAGAAUUCGGCCCAUAACAUCUAUGUUAGCUUUUCUAUCUGAAUGCAUUCAAAACAAUUUGCUUUUUAGAUGAUCCUUCUAGAAGAGUGCGACUAGAAUAGAACAGUUUUUCUAGUUACUUCGUUCUCUAUUUCUAUUUGAGAAAAUCCUUAGGAAAACAUUUUGUUUCCGCUGAGCUAAAACAAGAUGUAAAUGUCUCUAGUAGACCAAAGUUAUCGUUCAAUAGCUAUUUUGCUUCAAUUUAUCCCAUCAAAAAGAAUUGAAGAUUUUGUUACAAAUAGAAAUACACUUUUCUAUAUUUAUCCAUGGAUCUUUUCCUCAUACUUAUUAAAUUGGAAGUAUUGUUCCAAUUGAAAAAAAAAAUUAUGUUUCGUAAUUUCAUAAUCCAAUUUUUCAAUUUUUAGUUAGAAUAUAAUUAAAAAAUUAUAUAUAAUUUAAUUGGCCCUUGGAUCCAAAUCACGAGAAUAUAUAUUCUUCCUCAAAUCUUUCGUUGAGAGGUAAAGGAUUAAAUCCUUUUAAGAAAAUUUUUUUUUGCUCGGAAUAUGAAUCAAACUGAGGGACCCCUUAACUCUUAGGGGGAUUAAUAGAACGAAUCACACUUUUAGCACUAAACUAUACCCACUACAAUGCGAUUAUUGUAUUUAUUGUAUAUUUAUUGUAUAUAAAGGGACCCUUUGUCGAACAGGGGAAUUGGGCGUAACCAAGAUAGGAGCCACCUUUUGUCAGAAGACUUGUGUUAAUAGGAGUUUUGAUAGACAGGAUUUGACAAAAGGACUUUGUAACAGCCCGAUUUUGGGUCUAGUCGGAACAGUGGUUUCGGGACCACAAAUCCGACAAGAAAAAAAUUAUUUUAAAAUUUUGACAUGGGUUGCAUUAUGAUAGGAAUGUUUCAUGAAAAUACUGAUAUGAAAAUUUUAUCAUUAAUUAAGGAAAGGACCUAUUUGUAUAAAAUGUAGAAAUUGAAUUCUAAAAGCUAGAAGGAUUAAAUAGCUAUGAAAUUCAAAACUAGAGGUCCUUAUAUGGUAAAUAUACUAUCAAUCAAAAGAUGGUAGAUUUUUAUGGAUGAAUCAUCCAUGGAAUUUGAGAAAAAGAAAAGGACUAAAUUGGAAUUUUCAGAAAUUAAAAGAUGAUAAUUAAUUACAUGAACAUAUCAUCUUUUUCUAUCAUCUUCUUCCCCAAAAUUUACAUGGAAACCCUAGAAGAGAGAAAAGAGACUUUCUUGGCAUAAAUUGGUAAGUAAUCAUAUCCCGUUUUUAAUAAUUUUUAUAUUUUUGAGAUCGAGAUAACAUGUUCUCUCUAUUUUGAGGAUUUAUUUGAAAAGUCAUCAAGGUAUGGAAAUUGUGCCAUGGAUGAACGUGCUGAAAAUUGAAAAUUUAUGGUAGAAAAUGAAAGGUUGUUAGUAAAUAAACAACUUUUACCAAGUGAUUUUGGGUGAAACUGAGAUUUAGGGACUAAAUGGUAAACUUGUGAAAUUCAAAGGAAAAUUUUGAUUUUUUUGUGAAAUCUAUGGACUGUUAUAGAUAUACAUGAAUUUCGUUUAGGCUUGAAAAGGGGAUUGAAUUGUAUGAAUUUCAUUUUUCGAGCCUAGGGACGAAGUAAGAAUUAAUGAAAAGUUUAAGGGCAAAAAUGUAAUCUUUUUCCAAAGAGUGAUUUUUGAACUAAAUUGAAUAAUGUGAGUGUUAAAUAAGUUAAAUGUGUUGUUAUAAAUCAAGAAAGACGAGAAAUUGACCUUGAUCGAUAAAAAGAAAAGUGAGAAAAAGUGAAAAAUUAUGAAAGAGUACAUUUAGCAACAAAACAGUUUAGACAACAACAGUUGUGUGACUUUGAAAAAUCACCAAAAAUUGUGAAAAUUGAAUUAGAUGCUGAAUAAUAUAUGAAAUUAAAUUUGAAUGAGUCUAUUUUCACAUAAAAUAAAUUUUGCAUACGAAAGAAUUUUAUAUUAUGAGAUAUUUGAAUUUGGCUGAGAAAUGGGUCAGAAUGAUUUCAGAAUUCCCUGUUCUGACUUGGAAAAAUUGUACAAAAAUAAUUAUGGGUUAUAAUUUAUAUGUUUAAAAUAUUUAUUGAGUCUAUUUUCAAGAGAAAUAAACGAGGACAUCAUUAGAAUUUCGUACAAUGAGAUAAUUAAUUUUUAGUAAAGAGAGGUCGGAACUGUCGAACAAUGAAACAGAGGAAACUUUAAAGAAUAAACUGUACUUAUUGGAUGAACCAAAAAUUCUUAAAAUUUUAUGGUAAGAAGAUAUGUGAGUCUAGUUUCAGGUAAAAUUAACGGAUCUUAAUUUGGAGCUCUUUAGCUUGAGAUAUAAAUAAAUUAGUGACUUAGACUCAGACAGACAACUUGAAUUUACAUACAGGAAAAUAGUGAUAGUAUGGAUAAUGUUGUUUAAAUGUGUUAUACACAUUAAGAAUGUGGAAUGGAGAGGAGGAGGAGGAAAAUUAUAUAUGAAUAUUCAGCUAAUACGAGUUUAUUUUAAAAUAGCUAAUUUACAUGUUAUAGGUUCAGGGACUAAAUUUAAUAAAAGUAAAUUUUUAAGGUAAUUUUGUAAAAAUGUCAAAAAUGACCAAAUUGCAUGAAAUGAACUAUUUUAUUAUUUAAGUUAAUAAAUUGAAUGAAAUAUUAAUUUAGAUCAAGAUCGGGCAGAAAAUUGAGGGAAAUAAAAAAUUUCCAAAAUGCCCCUGUAUCUUGGUAUUUCUGCAAAUUAACCUGGUAAGUUCGUAUGAACUAUAUUCUAUACAUAUGUAUAUGUGUUUGUAUCACUACAAUUCAUAUGUAUUAACCAAGUGAAUGUUAUUUGGUGAUGAAUAAUAUAUAUGUAUAUGUGUUAGUAUUGAACUGAAUUUAGAGAACUGAAUUGAAUAAGAAAUAUGUGUUUGUAUCACUACAAUUCAAACUUUAUCAUUAUUAUGUGUUUAAUUUACUAAUUAUGCAUGGUAAGUAUUUUAAGAUAAGUGUUUAGUAAAAUGAAAAUUUAUGAUUGGAUAUUGAAAUUGAGACUGAUACUGAACUGAAUUAUGGAAUACUGAAUAUUGUUUUGAGUACUGAAUUGAAUUGUGAAGUUACUAAAUAUUGUUAAGUGUACUGCAUUACUGAAGUAAUGAAUUACUGCGAUACUGUGAAACCGAUUGAAAUAAGGAAUUAUAAUUGAUACUGAACUAAGAUGGAAAUUGUACUGAAAAGUGAAUUAAAUACCCUAUUAACUAGUCGGGCUAGUCGGAUAUAGUUGGCAUGCCAUAGGAUUUGGGAGAGUACGGGUUUUUGCCGUCUUACUGAUUAGGCACUUAUGUGCCGACUACUGUUACUGUUACUCUUACCGAUUCGGCACAUUGUGUGUCGAAUAAUGUUACUGUUACUGUUACCGAUUCGGUACUUUGUGUGUCAAAUACUGUUACCGUAUUGUUACAGAUUCGGCACUUUGUGUGUUGAAUAUUGUUACUGUUACUGUUACUGCUACCUUUACUGAUUACUGUUUAGUUACUGUGUACCGUUAAGGUACAAUGUGCCAUACUGGUGUGUUUGGUUAGAAUCCACGUAUCCGCCAAAGCCCGAGACUGUUGAUAGGGGUAAUUAAUGAAAAGUUAAAUCGAACAAAAUAAAACAGUUGAGCUAUUGAAAGAAACGUGAUUGUGGAAUAUAAUUUGAAAAUGUGAAUUGAAUAUGAAAAUGUGAAAUGAAAACAUGAACUAAAUAUUCAUUAGAUAAAUAAUGGCUCAAUGUGAUAGUAUAUGAUAUUGACUAAUGAAAGCCAAAUUGAAUUGUUAUUGGAAAUAUAUUAUCGAAUUUAAUACUCAAUUUAGAUUGAACGCGGGAUUGAGUACAAUCGUUCUGUGGCAAAGGAUGAAUUGUCGGAUAAAACCAUAGUUGGACUAUGGUACAAAAAGGAUUAUAUACUCAUAUCUGUAAGCCGUUCUUUGAUUCAGUAAGAAAUGGUAAGAGACUUAUGUGUUUGAAUUGAAAGAAUUAUAGGUUAUUAUUGAUAUCGAUCUGAAGGAAGUGUGUUUGUUAAUUAUAUUGUAUUUGACAAAAGAAAUUAUGAAGUAUUAGAGUUAUUUAAAAUCCUACUCAGAAUUCAUUGCUUACGUAUUUGUUUUUAUUUAUCCUACAGAUUAUCGAAAACUCGAUUGGGUUUGAAACUUGUCGAAGAUAUAGCACACUAUCCAUUGGUUAUAUCGGUAUGUUCGAAUGAUUGGAUUUUGGAUAUAGUGGCAUGUAUAGGUAUUUAGUUUAAUAAUGACCUAUUUCCAUUCACACGAGCAGAGACACGGGCAUGUGUCCCCUACUUCUAAGAAAAAAAAUUUGAAAAGUUGAGAAAUGAUCGUAUUUAAUUUGUAAACUCCAGUAAUACUUCGUAACCCUAUUCCGGCGACGGAUUCGAGUUAGGGGUAUUACAGACUUAGUCAUAACAUAAAUAACAUAAAAAUGGAUUGUGCAAAAAUCCAUAGUUUUUUUUAUUAUUUAUUCAAACAGACGAAAAGUACUUUCCCUUGUAUGGAGAACAAAUCCUAUCUCUUAUCUCUCUAGUUCCGGAACUCUUGGUAAGCUAAGUUUUUUUGAAUAUACCUUUCAAGAAAAGACCUUUCUUUUACGCCUUAUUUAUUAUGAAAGUGGAACCCGCUCGGAAACCAACUAACUUGAUCGAUUUAGUGCUUGGAUUAGGUCCGGGUAGAGAACAGGUAGGGGCGGUAGGCUUUUCACUUUAGCCGUUGUUAUUCAAGGCCUUACUUUACUCGUUUAAAUCUUUUUUGAUCCCCUCAUUCUUUCUAGUUAGGGAGGCCAUAGAUGAAAUGAUACAUUAUAAGUCUAGAUAAUUAGAAUGAAACUCUUUUUAGACUCAAAAAUUUGAAUUAUCUUUGAAUUUGGAAUAGAAAUGAAUGGAAUAAUUAGUUCUAAUUAUUAAAUAGAAAUAAUUAGUUCUAGCUAUUAUAUUAUAAAAAAUUAAUUAUUUUCAUUUUCAUUUUUAAUAAUGAAUAAAUUCAAUUUUCAUUUUUAUUUUUUUAGUUAUCUUAUUCUUAUUAUGGUUAUAUAGGAUAGUCUAAUAAAAGGAUAAGAAUAAAAAUGAAAUUAAAGAAAAAAGAUGCAACCCAUGGAAAUGAAAUCCAGAUCAUAAUGAGAGACUCCUUUCUUUUGUUUUCAUUCAUAAAGACAGAAACUAAGACGAAAAAAAGAAUUGACCCUUCGAGUAUUUCACCAAAUUGCAUGAGAAAACUGAGAGUAAGAGGGACAUAUAUAUGUUAUGGAAUACCCAUCUAUAUUGAAUUGCGAAUACAGAAAUGAUAAAAUAUUUUCUAAUUGAACCAAAUAAAAAUUAAUAUGGGUCUCCGAUAGAGACGAAAGACGAUAAAUAAACAAGAAAAUAAGUAAAGACCCUUUGAUAUAAGAAUUUGUAUCUAUAUCUACUAAAUUCAACGAUUUUGCAUAAAAAGAAAGCAAAUAAAUAAACUAAAGAAAACAAACAAAUGAAAGAAGGGGGAAAGGGGGGGAAGGAGGGACAUCCUAAUGAGAUCCUAAUCUUAAGACACAAAAGGGGAUAUGGUAAAAUUGGUAGACGCUAUGGACUUAAUUAGAUUGAGCCUUGGUAUGGAAACCUACUAAGGGUGGGUUUGGAUGGGCGGUGCGUUUACCUGCGGUUAUUAUAAAAACAGCGGUGGCGGUGAGAUUAGAUACUGUAGCGAUACUGUAGCGUGAGACAAAAAGUAAACUAAACACACCGCACCGCACCCAAUCGCCCAUCCAAACCCACCCUAAGUGAUAACUUUCAAAUUUAGAGAAACCCUGAAAUAAAAAAUGGGCAAUCCUAAGUCAAAUCCUAUUAUUUUAUUAUUUUACAAAAAUAAACAUGAAUAAAGGUUCAACAAGCGAGAAUAAUAAAAAAAGAAAAGGAUAGGUGGAGAGACUCAAUGGAAGCUAUUCUAACAAAUGGGAUUGACUCUUGGUAAAGGAAUUCUUAUAUCGAAUUUUGAAACUCUAGAAAGGAUGCAAGAUAUACCUAUUUUUUAUAGGUAUACUAAUGAAAAACUAUCUCAAAAAAGACGAACCGAACACGUAUUUUUUUAUUUCUAUUAUAUGCAAAAUCAAUUUAUAUUUAUAUGAAAAUAUGAAAAAUAAAAAGAAUUGUUGUGAAUCGAUUCCAAGUUGAAGAAAGAAUCGAAUAGAAUAGUCAUUAAUCAAAUCAUUCACUCCAUAGUUUGAUAAAUCUUUUGAAAAACUGAUUAAUCGGACAAGAAUAAAGAUACAGUCCCAUUCUACAUGUCAAUAUUAAUACCGACAACAAUGAAAUUUAUAGUAAGAGAAAAAUCCGUCAACUUUAAAAAUCGUGAGGGUUCAAGUCCCUCUAUCCCCAACCCUAAAAAACUUGUUUGCUGUCUAUUUAUUUUAUCCUAUGCUUUUUGUUAGUGGUUCAAAGUUUCUUAUGUUUCUCAUUCAUCCUAAAAAAAAUUGUAUUAACAUCAAUCUGAUUUAAAAAUAGAUAAAUACAUAAAUUCCUAUUCUUGGCUAAAGUUAAAUUCACAAAGAAACAUCCUGAAAAUUGGGAAGAAAGCUACAAUUAGAGGCAAUCCACUAAACGAUAACAGGCUAAAGUUUGUUUACCACCAUAACUGCUGCUAUCAAAACUUUGCUGCAAAUGCCUUAGCAUAUCAUACGCCCUAGAUGAAACCCAUCGCAGAUAAUCGCCGGAAGUAGAUGGAAUCGUACUGUCCAAAUGAAGCGCCCUUUCAACCUCCUCUUUUUCACCAUCAUCAACGUCAUCAUCAUUACUGCCACAACCAUCUUCUUCUUCUCUUCUCUCAUCCCCACCGUUGAAUUCACAUUUACAAUCAACAACUCGACUCAAUCUCUCUUUAGGCAUCACAUUGAAGAAAGACGUCAAGCGAGAAAGAUGCGUAUUGGUGGCAAUGGAAAACUUUUAUGUAUUUUUAUAUAUUUAAAUUUGUAUAUAUUUUUAUAACUUUUUUUUAAAAAUAAUUUAAAAUAUCAAAUUAUGACAUCAGCAUUACCACAUGUCACUAAUUAAAAAAACAUGUACUAAGCUUAACACCGAUACAAAAAAGUAUCAAAAGUCUUGACCGAAUGAAAAUUCGGUACCAAUUUGAGACAAAAAAAAAAAAAAAACUAUAAGUACUAACUUAGAAAAAAGUGACAAAUCCAGGGGCUAAAUGAGCAUUUAAGCCAGUGCAAAAAAGUUACAUUAAUUUACAAUGCCAUUGUUUUCAUGUGGAGGGUUAGUUUAUCCAAUGUAGCAUAGAUUUCCUCUGUUCUCUUAUGAGACUUAUCGUAUGCAAGAAAUACGUGAACAUCAUCCCUGUCUUCUAUCCAACUACAUCCUGGGAUCUUAUACAUCCCAAUGUCUUUAAUUUUUUGUCUUGUUCUUGCUAGAUCAGACCAUUUUCCAGCAUAAGCAUAUAAGUUUGCCAAAAGUACAUAGUUCGCGGUAUUAUUCGUUUCCAACGCUACAAGUCUCUCGGCUGCGACUUCUCCCAACUUGAUGUUGUCAUGAAUAACACAGCCGCUAAGCAAGGCACCCCACAUCACUGAAUCAACUUCCACCGGAACGCUCUUGAUUAGUUCAUAAGCUUCAUUAAGCUGACCAGCUCGACUAAGCAGAUCAAUCAUGCAUGUAUAGUGUUUUAUAGUGGGUUUGACAUCAUAGUGCUGCAUCAGAUUGAAUAAUUCCCGGCCCAUCUCGACUGACCCAACGUGAACACAUGAAGAAAGAGCUGAAAGGAAAGUGACAUGAUCCGGCCUACAGCCAUUUGUUAUCAUUCUUCUAAACAGAGCAAUUCCAUCCUCCCCGUGUCCAUGCAUGGCAUAUGCUGUUAGCAUAGCAUUGUGGGACACCAAAUUUGGGUCUAAGAUUCUAUUAUAUGCUAGUACUGCAUGAUGUAUACUCCCACAUUUGGCAUACAUAUCCACAAGUGCUGCCCCUAUGUAGACGUCAGCGUCAUAACCACAUCGAACUGAAUGUGCAUGAACCUGCUUUCCCCGCUCGAUGGUGGCUGACCUUGAACAAGCAGGUAAAACUAUUCCAAUAGUGUAAAUGUCAGGCCUUAUAUUUGAAAUCUGCAUUUCAGAGAACAAUUGCAUGGCUUUAUCAUGGUGGUCAUUUUCCACAUGACCUGCAAUGAUACCGUUCCACGAAUAAACAUUGGGCUCGAAACCAUCUUCUUUCAUUUUUGUAAGCAGAUGCUGAAGGUCUUCAAUCUGAUUGCAGCGGGAAUAGCCAGAUAUCAGAGCAUUCCACGUUGAUGUAUCACGCUCGCUCACUUCAUUGAAAGCAAUUUGUGCAGCCAUUAUGUCUUGACAUUUACAGUACAUUUCUACCAAAGCUCCCCCAACAAAGGUAUUAUAUUGCAGGCCUCUAAUAAUGGCUUGAGAGUGUAUCUCUUUCCCGAUUCUCAAAGAAGACGUAUCCGUACAAGCAGUAAGAACACUCCCUAGAGUGAAAGAAUUGGGUUCGAUCCCAUCUUCUGUAAGAACAUGUUUAAAUAAGUUCAAAGCUUCUUCAAACAGGGAAUUAUUUACAUAUCCAGAUAUCAUCGAGUUCCACGAAAUUAUAUCUUUCUUGAUAGCCAUUGUCCUCAUCUGAUCGAAUAGCUCCUUGGCCUUGGAGACAUUACCAUUUUCACAAUACCCAACAAUCAUUGUAUUACAAGAGACCACAUUUUUCAGUGAGAACUUUGAAAACAAUUGGAAAGCACUCAUCAUAUCACCACACUUCCUAUACACAUCAAUUAACCCAUUGACAACAAUGGGGUUAGACAUUAACCUAUGCCUCGUGAUAUAUCCAUGAAAUUCUUUGCCAAGGUUCAGCUUCUGUAAUCUAGCAAAAGCUGGAAGAACACUUGCUAGAGUUUGUGCGUUUGGUUCAAUGCCUUCUCUGACCAUUCUAAACAACAUCUCAAUGGCUUCUUCAUCAUAUCCAUUUUGCGAGAAACCCCCAAUGAUUGCACUCCAAGAAACAAGAUUUGGUCUUGAAUUUUCGCACAAAGACAUUGUUUCGAAAAAACCCAAUGCUUCGAACACCUUUCCAUUGAUAGCACAAGCGGUAACAAUAGCAUUCCAUGACACACGAUCUUUUUCAGGCAUUGUCUCCAACACCUUCUUAGCAUCGUCCAAGCUUCCACAUUUACCAUACAUAUCAAUCAAAGCAUUACCUACAUAAAUAUUAGAAACAAACCGAUAUUUAAUCAAAAUCCCAUGCAAUUGUCUUCCUAAUUCCACGUUACCAAGGCCACUACAAAUUUGUAACACAACGGGAAACACGAAAAAGUCCAAUAAAACAUCGUCGAACUGUAGUUUAUCGAACAGACAAAAAGCUUCUUCAAAAAGCCCGUUGUCAACAUGCAAGCUAAUCAUAGCUGUCCAAGAAUACAAGUUUCUCUUCGUCAUUUUAUCGAACAACAAAUCCGCAUCACCCAAACAACCAAACCUUCCAUACAUUUGGAGCAACUUGGUGUCCACAAACUCCUGCCCGGAAAACCCAGUUUUAAAAGUAUGAGCAUGGACCUGUUUCCCAAGUCUGAGGUUAUUGCAAGAUUCGAGAAUUGAAGCAUAGGUGCUUGAACUUACUGGUUUAUCAAACAAGGAAAGGGUGUUGGGCAUGUGAGAGUGAGGUUUGGGAAGGUUUUGGUUCAGUGGUGGUGGGAUGGCGAUGGGUUCCAACACUUGAGAAAUCAUAGUAUUAUUUUGGGUGUGGGCGGCAGGCCGGUAGCCAGCUCAAGUACCAGAAACGGAAAACAAGGGAAAUUGCUAACAUGUGCAGUAAUAGUAACAAAUGACAAGGUGCCCCCAAUAAUAACGCUGUCACUGUCAGGUGUGAAUUCAUCUUAGGAUAAUUUAUGGGUCAGUUUGGUUACAGGGACGCCAUGCCCUAAAUUAUGGUCGAAGGGCUAAUAGGAAAAUUAAAUGCUUUAAUAAUUUUAAUUUCUAUAUUUUUUAUAUUCUUAAAUUUUAGUAUCACUUUAAAUGGUAACAAUUAAAUCCGUUUUUAUUAAAUUUUUUUAUUAAUACGUAUUAUAUACAAGUUGUGAAUUUAAUUAUUUUUAAUUUUUAUACUUUUUUAAAUUUUAAAUUUCAAUUCUAUUUCAAACUGCAAUUGUUAAACCAUUAAGUAAAGAAAAAUAUUUGGUACACUUAGACUCCACAAGCGGGGAUGGUUGAAAAUGUUGCCCAUCUCUUUCCCAAUUACAUGACAUUGAAACAAAGCCAAUCGACCCAAUGAAUUAAAAAAAGAAAAGAAACACACUGUAUUACACACCAUGAGAGAAAAGUUAUGUAAUAAGUUUAUAAUAUAAAAUUAAAUAUUUUUUUAAUUAAAUUGGUAAUGCUAGAAAAUAGUGAAUGUAAAGAUAUUUUUGGUUUAAAUUUUUUUUAUUUUCAUAGAUGUUAUAUAAAAAAUAAAAAUAUUCUCAUAAAAAUAUUUAUUAUUUUAUAUAAAUAAUGAAAUUUGAUAAAUUCAUAAUUAAAUUGAAAUGUAAUUCAUACAUGACAUCAAUCUAUUCAAAAUUUUAAAUAAAUAAAAUAUCAUAAAUAUAAUUUUAUCUUUUAAUACCUAAGGUCUGCAAAUAUUCUCAGUGUACACAAUAUUAUUCUAUAAUAUAUAGGAAUGAUAGAAUCUUUAGAACAAUCUUUGAAAGAUAUUGCUUGGGUGGAGAUUAUAUUAUUAUUAUUAUUAUUAUUUAUUCAGCACAGUUUCCAAGCAGAAUGUUUAUGCAAAGGUCCAAUUUCAAAUAAAAUAUUUAUAUAAUGAAAUAUGAGAAUCAAAAUUAAUAAUAUUAUUAUUAUAAUCAUAUUUAUUUUUUUGACAUAAUAUUUAAAAUUACCUAUAAUUUCUCCUAGUUUCUAAGUAUACAUAAAAAAUUAAUCCGUUUUAAUACACUCAAAUGUUAUUAAAUGUUUUUAAAUGAAAAAAUAUGGACUAACAAUGCAACCGCCCAAAAAAAUUCAGCCAAAUACUAAUCUGUUCAUAAAACACAUAUGAUCGAAUAACCAAAAAUCAAAAUGCAGCAAAAGUGGUUCAAAUUUGAGAGUUAUUAUUGAGAGAUUAUCUGAAUACAAGUCCGGGCCCUAACUCAAACAUCAAACUAGGUUGUCAGUAGUGUCACUGAUCUUGUAAGAAAAAGAAAACCCUACUUCUUCCUCUUUAACCAUGUUAAUAUUAACGUAGGCUGUUUUCAUUUCAACAAUGUCCAGUAGAUUCUCCCUGUUCUUUGUCCUCAUCCAAUUCGUUCAUAGUGUUCACUGGAACCUGCUUCGAUUCCUCCUUUACAGGAAGCAAAAGCCUUUCACCAUUUUCUUCUACCCCUUGAUGAUUCUCAUCAUAACCAGUUCCAAAUCCAUCACUAGAAAAUUUUAGACCGGGGUCUAGAACUGGGAACCCACUUGAGUAUAUUCCGGUGCUGGCACCACCAAUCUCCGGCAUAAAGGGCAACCUUUGCGAGCUAUUGUAAGCCUGAGCCGGUACUACUGGUGGAUACGCUAGGUUAAUGACUUGAUGAUGAUCACCUUCAUGGAUCUUAGGGUUUUGAUGAGUCAAAUGAUCAUCAUCAAGCUUCUUUGAUGAUGAUGUCUUGUUCUUCCUUGAACCACCACCAACGGGAACGUUCCUUAAGGAACCACCAUGGGUCCAAUACCUUCUACAAGUCUUACAGAAGUAUCUUGGCUGAGAAAGGCUGUAGUUGUUAUAAUAACAAAACUUGGUGUUUGUUGAAUUGCACCUUGGACAGUUCAAAUUAGCUUCACCUUUUUGAACCCUAGCUGAAGAUCUUGAGUAUUCUCCUAUGGCCAUGGGCUUAGUUACCCCAAUUCCCUGGAAAUACAUGAGUACUUCAUCAUCAUCAUCAUCAUCAUCAUCAUAAUAAUAGUAACUUUUAUCAUUUCAACUAUUAGUGGGACUGAACUGAACUCAAACAAGAAUCAUCUCAAGGCUAAAAAAAGGUGAAACUUUAAAGCUAGUUAUCCAUGAGAAAAGGGGAAAAAGAAAAGAACUCAAGACCCAAAGCCAUAUAUAUAAUGAUGAAUUCAUAUGAAAAACAACAAAAAUUAAAGAAGACCCUUCACUUUACCUGUUCCCACUGAGUGGCCUCCAUGGAUUAAGAACUGAGAAAUAAAAAGGUGAUUAGCCUUUGGCAAUCCCCUGCUGAUCUUAAAAGCCAAAAGAAAAAACUACAUAAAUAAAAGGACGAAAAAGACUUUGAGAGCUGGCCUACCACUACUAUAAAAUGAAAGAAAGGGGGCAUUUGAAACAGGGACUAUUUCGUCUUUGUGUUGUUAUUUCAUUAUCAUAAGAAAUAACAAUGGCUACAGUCUUAAAGUCUAAAAAUAUGGAAACUUCGAAUAUAUACCUGAUUUUUGAAGGUCUUCUUUUAAAUUGUGAAAGAGGAAAAGGACAAGUUUAGGUACAAGUGAUGAUCGGUUUGUUCCAAAUUUUAUAGAUAAAAAAAUCAUUGACAUUGAACCCAGCAAAAGUUAUAGGACCGACUUAACUCAUUGAAAUCGACAUUAAUUCAAUUCAAUCAUCUAUUAAUUAAUUAUUCUUUCCAAAAAAAAAACUUUCAAAAAGUUAUUACAAUAUUUAUAUGUUUUUAAAUAUGGAUAAAUUAUACUCGGUGUCACUAAACUAUUACUAACUUUACGUUUUAGUCACUUAAUUUUAAAAAGUUAUAAAAUGGUCUGAACUACUCGAAAGUUUUCAUUUAAGUAAUUGGGCUGUGAAAAUCGUUGUUGUAUGACUUUCUCUCUUCGCACCGCCUACACCAACCAAAAUUUUUUCCAAUUAUCUUCUAAAGUUCAAACAACUUUUAAUGUCACAAAUAUGUAAAUCAAAAUCCAAACAACUUUCUUUUUUGAUUUCCUACACUGACAAUCGAAUCGGCUUGGAUCUAAUGUAUAUUCUUUUACUAAUCAAUGUGUACUAAUCCACCGUACCGGUCAUCAAAUCGUCAAUUGAAGUUCGCUAACGAAACUUUUUUUAAGAAAAGAAAACUUAAAUAAAAACUUUUAAAUAGUUUAGUGACUUAAAUGAAAUUUUAAAAAAAAAUUUAGUAACCAUUUUAUAACUUUUUUAAAUUAAGAAACUAAAUCAUAAAUUUAUUAACAGUUCGGUGAUCUUAAAUCUAGUUUAUUCUAUAUAUAUUAAUAUUUAUUCAAAUCCAAUUAUUAAAUUAUUAUCCAAUUAAACUCAUAUCUUCAAUAAAUUGCAUAUAUUAAACUUACAGCAGAUUUGUUUUCCCAGGAACCGGUGGAUUUCACAUUCACUUGCAUUGAAGCUUUAAUCCAGUCCGAGCCCAGAUAGUGUGAUGAGACUAGCAUUGUAAAUUGGGUGGGUUAGAUUGUUUUAGAUUUGAAUAAAUUUAGAUACUAUCCAUCUGGGUUUUCUCAAAUAAAUUUUGGGUUUAAAUUAUUUUCAAGUUUUGAUUUUUAUAAGUUUGAAAUUUUAGAGUUAUUAUUAUUUUAGGGUUGAAUCAGUUUGAGUUUGAAUCAUCGACUUGUUAAAUGUAUAUUAAAUGUCAGAGUACAUUUUGUCCCCUUAAAAAAGAGUUAGUCACUGUACAUUAGAUUAAUGAGAAAAUUGAUCCUUAUGUUGAAGUACAGAGAUUAUUUUUUAACAGUAAAAAUAGAUGAAAUUUUUAAUAGAAAUAUCAAAUUACUCUUUCAUCUUUGAGCAAAAGGAACAAAAUAUUAUUCAACUCCUAGUAUAAAGGCUUGCCUGAAUUUAAACAAAUUAAAAUUCGAUAAAUUAAAACUAGACCACGAGAGAAGUCCAAAUUCAAAUACCCUCACUAGUCCAAGUUCAAAGCCCAUUUUAUGUGGCCUCUGUGACUGUCGUGGGCUUAAAGGGAAAGUUGAAGAGUUCAUGUAGAAAUGGGCCAUAAUUGAUAAGUGUAUUAUCUCAUAAUAUGUUGAUUUCAAUGAAACAGAUGUGGAAGUAUUUUCAUUACGCACAAUAUUAAUCUUUAAAUCUCGUCAAAUAUGAAAUUUCUAUACAUUUCGAGAAAGUUUCAAAUGAUGACAUUACUGUGUACCUCCCUCUCAACCAACACAGAUUUCAAAACAUUAUGAGUUUUGAUUAAACCACUUAUGGACCACCCUAUUGGUUCAGAUUUCAAAAACACAAGAAAAAAAAGGGUUUGUGUUUAUUCUAGUAGGGUGGUCCAAAAUGUAAGGCUUUUGUAAUAAAUUGUACAGCGAAAGCACAAAAUAAGCAUUAGGAGUGUGAGUGGAGAGGUAUCCGCCGUCAGAUUAGAAUCAGAUGAACAGCCACAAGAGAGGUGGUCCGAUUUUCAUCACCAUUGUUAAGCUGCCAUCGGAUGAAACCCCGCAAUAAAAGGCGGUGGUCCCUCCUUCACUGUUUCAUUGUUUUAAUAUGCUGUGAACCGGGAAAUUUUUACCUGCUUCUAGGUAACGUCUUAGGUAUGUUUUAUUGUUUUAAUUGCUUGUAAUUAUUGGGUGUAGUCGAAUUAUAGUUUUUAAUUCUUAGAUAUUGGGUGAAAUUUGGAGUAAUAACGUAAUUAAUUAUAUUGAAAUUUAAAUUUUUCAUAAAUAAUUUUUAUAAGUUAUAAAAAUUAUAUUAUAAACAUAAAUACAUAUGAGUGUUUAGGAUCAUAGAAAAAGAUUUCUUAUAUUCUAAAUCCCAAAAAUAUUAUAAAAAAUAUUUUAUAUAUUUUUAAAAUUAUAUUAUUUAAAUCUUAAAAAAAUUAACAUUAUAGUCAACAUAUUAUAAAAGAGUUAUUAUAUAUUUAUUUAUAAAAAGUUGCGAUCAAGUAUGAACGUAACUUAUUUAUGUAUCCAAACUAUAUAUUAUAUUCAUAAAAAAUGUUAUAAUUUUUUUCCAUAACUUAUUUAUAAAAAAUAAUUUUCUAAAGUUGUAGAAAUUUUAUACUAUCUAUAUGAAAGUUUUGAAAUUUUAUAAUUUUUUUUUAAAGAUUAUAUGUUAUGAAUUUUAUAUUAUUUUUAUAAAAAAUGAAUUUGACCUAGCAUAAGUUUUUCUCCGAAUUAAGUUUAUAUAAGUUUUUAUAAUUAAAGUUACAAACUAUUUGGACUAUGAACUUAAAUAUUAUAAGGUUGAUGUUAAUUAUAUAAAUAGAAAUUUUUUUUGCACUAUAUUGUAGGGUAUGAUACCAUUCUCUCAAAUGGUGCCAGACACAAGCACCAUAGACAACUCGCGAACUCUUUAAUUUCAAACAUAUGUGGCUUCGAAAUGUGGUUGAUAAGACAAUUGUUGUUUUUAAAAACAUUUAUCAUAUUAACAAUGUCACCUUAGUAUAUCAUAAAAAUCAAGGUUGGAUCUUAUUAACAUUAUGUAUAUUUCAUAACUUCAAUCACAAGGGGAAUUCAAGACAACUCAUACUUUGUAGAGUACAUGAGAGAAUGAGAUAUUAAUAAUUUUAAUGAUGUGGAUUCAAAUUCAGAUGAUGAUGAACUUAGUUAAUGACCGACAUAUAAUGAUAAGAAGUAUAUGUUAAAUAUUAAAAAGGGAAUAACCUAACCAAUAUGCAAUAGAAAAAAUAGAUAAAAUUGCAUAUGAUGUUUACUUUUCUUGCUAUUCUUAUUAGGAAACGUAUUAUCGACUACUUUUUUAGACUAACAUAACAUAUAUGAUGAUUUGAUUUUAAUUUUUGUUACUUGUUUAGAAAUUAUUUUUAUCAUACUAUUUUUUUAUAGUAAUUAAUAUUUUAAAAAAUAUAAAUUUUAUAAAUGUGUAAUUAUAACUUGUAUUACCAAACAUGACAUAAAGAUUUAAGAAAUAAUUACAUUUUGUUAACCAAACACGUAUAAGGAAUUACAAAUCUUUAUAAUUAUAAUAAAAAAAUUACUAUCUUAAUAAUUAGACUUUCAUUCAAUUACUCUAUAUUGUCCAAAAAAACCUUAGUUUUUCUUUCGGUGUUGUAAGAUCUAGACAACGGCGAGCAUAUAUUCGAAAUUCGUACUAUUUUUUGUAAAGUACAAAAUAUAAUGUUGUUGCAUUACAACUAGGAAUCGAAGGAAAAGAAGAGCUUAAAUAUGAAAUUAUAUAUAUCACAAGAAUAUUUUGUUUUUUAAGAAAAAAAUUCUUAGUAUUUUUUUAUUUCAGAGAUAAAUAUAAAAAAUAAAGAUAAACUUUAGUUUGAUGCAAGUACGUAUAUUAAGAUUUGGUUGUGAUUUAAAUGUACAUAUUAAAUUUUGAUUUUAAUUCAAUUAUACAUAUUGAAAGAAAUAAAUAUAUCUAUUUAUUUUCAUAUUGGAUUAAAAUAGUUGCUUGUGUAUGCAAUACAUUGUUGAGGGGGUCGUCUUUUUUUUAGACGUUUUCGAGGUGUUGUUCGUCAGGCAAUUGACCAAUCUCCCAACAACCGAAUGGAUUGUCCCUUAGGGGUGUCAUCCCUCGUACUUUGUCGAGAGCUAGUGUGUCGUAUGGCUAUCCUAAAGGCCUGGUUCAUAGAGUUGAGAGCAUUUUGACCAUACGUGAGCGUCUCAUCGUUGGUGGGGUUCGACCCCCUAAUCUAUGGUAUAUAGGUCACUUGUUGAGGAAGUUGGUACCACUUAAUCUACAUGAUAAUAGUCAAAAUUAACAUAUUUUAGCCUCAUUCUUAGUGCAUUUUUGGGUGGUUAUGUGGUGCUACUUGUUAAUUACAUACUCCUAAUCCUUUAUAUUCAUGUUUUGAUACUUAAUAGAGCACUUGAUAGAGUGAAAAACGGGUGAAAAUUAGAACAUUGGAGCAGUCCAGAAGCUAAACAAGUGCAAUAGAGAUUUACACGUGCAAACCACACAGCCGUGUGACUCAAACAGGUGUAUGGAUUUCACAAACCGUGUGCAUUGACUGUUAGAGUAUGCCCAAAGAUCAAUCAUGAGAUGGUUGUAAUAACAUACUUGAUUUAUCAUGUUUAUUAAUAUAAGGCGUUACCAUUAUUAUUUCAGUUUCUUUUCUGUGUAUAUAAAUAAACUGUUUUAUAAUAAUGUCCUGAGAAUAAUAUGAUUAUUCUUAAAAGUUCCUUAGUCAAGUAUUAUUGUUGGAUAGGACAACGAUAAUGCAUUAAGACUAACGUGUAGUUGAUUGAUGAUAAAGAGUUGUCAUUGAUAUGGAAUGUCAGAAUCAUUACAUGAAUAUGUGUGUUAGAGAACAACAUAUUGGACUGACCCGUUAUGAGUAUGUUUCUUGGAUUAUUAUGUAAUUGUCACGACAUUACUCAUAAUGAUUAAUAUUUAUAUGAUCCUCAGACUUGAGAUCAUCAUAAUCCCAACAUCGUGAGUUGUAUAUUUUGAUACAGUCAAACGUACACCGUANNNNNNNNNNNNNNNNNNNNNNNNNNNNNNNNNNNNNNNNNNNNNNNNNNNNNNNNNNNNNNNNNNNNNNNNNNNNNNNNNNNNNNNNNNNNNNNNNNNNGAGGGAUAUGGUUGGUCGAUAUAGGAUAAGUCCCUCCUACAUAAUGGGAGUAAUAUCUUAGGCCACUUGAUUAAGUAAGACUAGAAAUGCAUGGCCAUGCUCAAAUAAGUUGAUAUUAGAUGUCAUACUUAUUUGUAUAUCGUAGUCUGCUUAAGAUAUCAAGGAACAUGGAAUGGACAAUGCAAUUGUGACUAUUUCAUGACUUGUGUCCAAUCCAGAGAUAAAGGACUUAAGGAUUAUUGCAUAAAAGGUUAAUCAUAAAAAGGUUAUGUCGAAUCAUGAUCUCUUGUGACUUAGGUAGCAAUGAUGCAUUGCUAGAUGCCACUCAUUGUUCGUAGUAUUAGAAUCGUUCUAGUGUUACUGCUAACGUUACAAGAACCUACAGGGUCACACCCUAUAGUUGAAAUGAACGAAAUAUACCAUAGUUGGUAUUGUUUUUGGGGUCGCUUGAAUUAAAUUAAUUAUAGAAUUAAUUUAAUUCGGUAAUCAAAUUUCCAACACAUUAUGUACAAGGUUGUUGUACGUAUAGUGAGGACAUGAAUUUGGUUAGCAUAAGAAUUCAAAUAAAUAUAUGGUUUACCGAACUUAUAUUAUAAUUAAUGUAAUUAUAAUUUUCGGUUUAAAAUAUUAUCAUAUUUAUUUAAUUCUUAAAAACCCUAAAAAACAAAAUGAUAUAAAUAAUCACGUUUUUCUUUGUUUGAGUCUAGCAGCCGCAUAAGAAAAAUAACUCUCAAAAUUGUUUUGGGGAUUCCUUCCGUUCGUAGUCAACUGGGUGGAUUACGUAGAGACCGGGAUCACGAUAGAUUGAGAUUUUGAUUCGACAGCAGAUCAGACUACUUGUUGUUGAGGUGUUGCUGUCUACUCUGAAUAAACAUUAGGUAAAUUCGUAACCUUGAUCACCCCGAUUCGUUCCUCACACAUGGAUCCAUGGUUAGGGUCGCCGAUUUUAAUUUUUCCGCUGCGCCGUAGGGGUGCCGGCGAUCCAACAUUGACAACUAGAAGUGACGAUUUUUAGGGGUUUUUUUUUUUUUUGCACUUGGAGAAGGUAUAAAAACGGGAAUACAAUAGGAGGAAAGUAGCCGUAAUAGGAUAGCAAAAAGUUACCCCAAGAACACCAUUGAAGCCGAUUUCCAAGCAAUUUGCCAUCAAGGUUCGAGAGUCCAAGCUGAUUUUCGAGGGAGUUAUCAUGAAUUUCUUUUAUUUUAAUGGUUAUAUUGUAUUUUUGGUGUUCAUUCUUGCAAUUAUGGACUAAUUCUCUUAAUACCUAGGGGAGAUGAACCCUAGGAUGGAUUCUAUUUUUUGAUUUCUAGUUUUAUGCAAUAAAAUCUUAGUUUAUUUGUUUUCAAUUAUGAAUGCUUAAUUAUUUUUGAGUUGAUAAUUCUAUGGUGUUGAUCCAUGUUUGAUGUGUAUAAAUCUGAGGUUGAAAAGACCAUUCUAGUGAUAAUGUCUUAUAUAAUUGAAUAGAGUUGCAUACAAUCAUAAAAAUAGAACGACAUAAACUCUCUAAGGGACAAUACCUUCAAUUAUUGAGAGAUCAAUAGAUUACCUGAUAAACGAUACUUCAAAGAUUUCUCUAUUGAUUAAAUGGUAUAAUUACCAUCAUUUCUUUUAUAGGGAUUAACCAAGCGCUUUCACUCCAUAAAUCAUUGAACAAAGGGAAAGGUAAAAAAUCCCCUCAUGAUCAAUAGUCGCAUACCCUAAACUUAAAUUAAAAAAAAAAACCCACCAUCCAUGCAGAGAGAGAAGUGGAUUCAGCGGCCUACCCCACCACCAGCAACUUGUUUGGUGGGAACUGUCUGAAGCCAUGACAUAACAUUCAAAUGGACAGCUUUUUCUUCUUUAAUUUCUUUCUAUGGUAUUUGGUGCCAUAGAUUUUAGUUUUCCAAGAUUUAUGAAUAUGCAUCCGUAGUACUAUACACUGGGUGAUGAGCCCCAUCAUCACAUUUAUCUAAAUUUCUAUAUCACUAUCACAAAUCACUCAUCCUUACCUGCCCUUCUUCAUUUUCUUUUUCCUUUUUUCAGUUUGAAUUUUAAGUUUUUUCUGCCCUAAAUGGCUCUGCAGUAAUUUAUUUCUUCAUUUUAUACCAAACGCUUCUCUCAAUAUUGAUCUUGGAUGGACUCUAUUUAAACAUACAUAUCAACACUGUAAAUUAUAAUUUCUGGACAAAAUAACAUUUAGUAAUUGAAAUUGGUAAUAUUUUUAUUUUAGUCCUUGAUUUUUUAUUUAUUUAAUUUUAAAGUUUAACAGGUUUUCUCAAUUUGAUCCUUAAACUUGAAUUCUAUUAAGGCAUAAUGAUGUGACACAAUAUUAAAGUAUCACAUCAUCAUUUGAAUUUUAAAAAAAAAAUCAAGAAAAAAAUUAUGAUUUCUUUAUUUUGUCUUUUUAGAUUUUAUAUAAAAAAAAAUUUAUAGGUGAUAACAUGGCACAAUCUAAAAAUACCAUACCAUCACUAUUUUAAUAGAAAUUAAGUUCAUAAGCUAAAUUGAAAACAAAAAAAAAAGUUGUUAAGCGUCAAGAUUAAGUGGACCUCCAAAAAAAUCAAGAAUCAAAUAGAGAAAAUUUAUCAAUUUUUAUUGAUUAAAUGUUAUUUUAUCCCUUUAAAAAAUAAAUACUGUAACCAUAUCAACAAUUACCAUGACAAUAUAUAAAAUAUUAUUUUAAACUUAAACAAAUCAUUUAAAAUAUAUUACUAAAGAAUAUUAUUAGGAUUUGUUAAUUCAUCUAAACUAGAAUUAUUCAUGGUCAGCCCUGAUUUAGGUUAAGCACUAACAUAAUUUUAGAUCCGAUCAUUAGGUUUGAGCCUGAUUUAAAAAAUAAACAUAAAUUUUAUUUAAGUUCGAGUCGAAUAAAAAUAUUAAAAUUCAAGUUCGGCUCAGUCUGUCAGUAUUAUUUUUAAAAAAUAUAUUUUUAAAUAUAUAAUAUACAAAAUAUGCUAAAAAUAUUAAAAUAAAUAUUUCCCAACAAAUUAAAAAUAAAUUUAAAAAAUAUUUAUACUUAAAUAACACAAGUGCAACUUAACAAACAAAUACCUCUAAAAUAAUAGCAAAAUUAACAAUAAAAUAAAGUGUUAUACAAUAUUUAAUAUAGCAGCAACAUAAUAAUGAAAUGGUAACAAAACAGUGAGAAAACAACAUCAAAACAACAAAGUUUCUUUUAUUGCAAAUUCAAGCCGGACUGAGCCCGGGCCAAAAAACCUUACCCGAUACCUGGCCCAUUUUCUAAUUUGACCUUAUUUUUUAUCAAAAUUCAUUUUUCUAGUAAUAUUUCUACCUAAACUCUCUCAUUUUUUGAACAAACCUUCGAACCGAACCACAUGGCUUGGCCAUGGAGAACUCUAAUCUUAACUUAAAGGGAAUAUACGAAAUUACAAAUAAUGAAUGAAAUUUUUUUUAGAAUCAUGAAUAUGAAUUAUUAUAACCUAAUCGUGAAAUAUCUAUAUUUUAAUUAUUGAGGUAAGAAAAUUUAUAAUAAUUAAUACAUGCAUAUAUUAAGAAGGGGAUAUCAAAUAUCUAUAAUAUACAAAUAUAUAUUAUUCACCUUUAACCUAAGAGCUUUUUUAAUGUCUAUAAUUAUUGGUAGAGGAACUUUCCAGCAGCCCAAAGAAAAAAAAAAUUCGUACGUGGAAUUUGGAAAGGAAAAAAGAAAAUUAUAUUCUUAUGGAAACAGCAUCGAAAUUAUUGAGAAAUUAUAUUUAGCCAACUCCCUGCUUAAUAAUAUAUUCCUUAAUUAAUUUCAAUCGAGAAUAAUAUUAUAAGAUGAAACUUCCACAGCCCAAUGUUUUUCCAUGCUUUCGUAUAAAUUAAAUAUAAUUUAUGGUUGCAAUAAUUAUUUUACUCAACUUUAAUUAAUAUUAAAAAUAUAUAAUUACUUAUUUAAAGUUUAUUAAUAAAAAAAUAUACAUAGGCAAUCCUUUCACUUCAUCUCCAACCCGUUUUAAUGCACUCGAACUUAUAUCCUCUUAUAUUGAUAAUAAUGUCUAUGCCAAUCAAACUAAUACUCAUUCGACAAAAUUAAAACAUGUUUCAACUUAAAGAAAAGUUAGUAACAAACUUAACCACAAUCCCAAAUGGUGCAUGCAUGGAUCACAUAGGUGGUUUUCAAAUAAAUUUCUUGCUUAAGAAGCAAGUAACCUAUCAGUUGGUUUUUUUAUGCAAAAUAUUUUUAUAAAAACUUGAGAAACAUAAUUUCUUGGACUUUUUUUUUUCGAGAACACAAGUGUACAUUUAUAAUAAAUAAGAAAUAUAUACAAUUUUAUUUUAUUUUAAUAAAAAUAUUUAAAAAAAACCUAUUUUGAUUUUCAAAGUCAUGCAAUGCAUGUAUAUAUGUGGGAUGGUGCACCAACUUUUGGAAAAGAUUUAUGAUUUAACAACCACCGCCCCCCCUCCCCAUAAAUGUGCACAACCCAUGCCACCUAUGGCAACCAUGUGCACCAAAGCAAUGAUCCCAACUCAAUGACUUUGCCUACAAAUAUUCUAAAUUCCAAUACUUUUAGCAAAAAUCAUGGCUAAUUAACCAUUUCUUAACAAAAAAAAAAAAACAAAUAUUUCUUAAUGAAAGGGGAAUUUUGUUCAUGCAUGACGUUGUUUAAGGAACAAAAGGGGUGAGGACAUUGAAAUCCUCUUUUUUUAACUAGUAUUAUUUAAAAAAUUCGAUGCUUUUAAAAUUAUGUAUUUUUAUACUAUCAUGAUAUUGGUUUAGUGGUAACUUAUACGCGAGUUCAAGUAAAGGCGAAGUUAAGAAUUAUUUCGAGGUUAGAAUUAAGUUAUAUAUAGUUUUAGAGUUAAAAUAUAAUUUCAUCAUUGUAUUAGUUUAUAUCAUUAUAAAUUUUAAAAAAAUAAAUUAAAAAUUAUCAUUUUUAAGAGGUCAAAGCUCAAUUUAAUCAUUUAUAAUUUUAUAAAAUAUGAAGAAUCAAUGUGAUAUUUUUUUUCAUUUUAGGGCACUUUGGAACACUUUAACCCUUUCCUUAAACAUAAUGCAACUUUUUUGUGUAGAAAAAAUGCUAGUAAAAUUUGGGUUUGCAUAAUUUAUAAAAUUAUGGGUUUUAUUUAAGCAUUUAUCAAAAUAAUAUAUGUUUUAAAUUAUUUAUUGAAAUAAUAUAAAAUAAAUAGUAAAAGUUUAAAAAUAAAAGAAAAAUCAUCAUGGAGGAUGGCUAUUUCCUAAUAUUUUUUCUAGUAAGUUAAUAUAACAAAAAAAUCUUUGUCACAUUAAAAUCCCAAAUCAUCACCGUGAAUAAUGAUUUUAGUCAUUCGCUAUGAUAUUGCUGAAAGCAUGUUAAAUUGAUAAAUAAUUUUUAAGAUAAGUUGUUUUAAUAAUUAAACUUCAUUUAUAUGUAAAAAAAAAUUUGAUAGGUUUAUAUUAAAUUUUGUUAAGUUAAUUCCUAAUUAUUGACGCUUAAAAUAACACAUUAAUGAUAUAUAUUGACUUAAAUGAUUAAUUAAAUCAUUGAAACGAAGAGGUUUUUUCAAGCAUUUAAAUUUAUAUUGAUACUACAAUAAAUAAAUAUAUAGACAGUGGCUUAGCUUAGUAGAGACCUAGAGGCUAUAGCCUUUCUUAAAAUGAUAAAUUUUUAAUUUAAAAUUUUUAUAAUUUAUAAAAUUUUAAAUUAAUAACAAAAUUACAGUUUGUCCUUUUAAAAUGAUAAAAUUUUGAUUUAACUCUUUAAAAAUUAUAAAGAUAUACAUCACUAAAAUUACAUUUUUACUAUUAUAAAUAUAUACCAUUUAAUUUUUAUCUCUCAACAAACUUUUCGGACUCCGCGAAUGCAUAUGGAGAUUUAGAUCUAAUUCUUUUAAAAGGAUAUGUAUCAAUUUGUUGAGCAAAAUAAGUGCUACACAGUUUCAACGACUAGAUACCGUAGAUAAUGACUUGUCUGUAGCCCAUGCCCAUGGUGAAACAAAAAUGUUUUUUUUUUUUUUAAAUAAAAGAAAAUAUAAGUUCUAAACAAUAAAGAUUUGAUGGGAAAGGGUGGAUUCUUCACAAGUGCCUGAAACCUGUGACUGAACCAUUUAUAUAGUAUCAUUGCUUUCUUGUCUUGGAACUGGCUGGCUUGUCCUUUGAUUCCCCCCAACUUUUUUCAUUUUUAAGCCACUGAUAAUCAACUAUUUCGAAUAAAUUAGACUGAGAAUUAGUUAGAGUAUUCAUUCAAAGAAAAGAUUUGAGAUUGAUUAAAUAUGAUUAAAAUUUUACUUGAAUUGGAUCAAUUACAAUUUUGAAAACUUUGAGAAAAGAUAAUUGUAGAAUUAUGAGCCAAUUUCUCAUUAAAUAUAAAAAGUGUUUUUGGAAAAGUAGUUCUAAAUUUGUUAAUAGUAUAGUAUAUGAAAUAUGUAAAUUUACAUUAUAAUAAAAAAUAUAUUUUUUAAGAUUCAAAUAAUAAUCUUAUAUAGAAUUCAACACUAAUCGAAUCCAACUUGAGUGAAAUGUUUUAUUGAUUAAAAAUUAGGUUGUGGAUUGAUAUGGAUUGUUGUCAAUGCAGGAAGAUAUGGAGUCAAAUGCGCUGAAACGCAUUAUCCUCCUACUUUUCAGUUUAGCAAACCCUAUUAAAAUUGCCCUAAUAUAUUUUGCUAAUUAAAAAAAUAAUAGAAUAACCAAAUUGAUUGAAUUAACUUCUAAUCUUAUAAUUUAAUAAAUUUCAUUUAUAUUAUAUGUCGUGCUAACAACACACAAUAAUCAGAAAAAAUCAAUACUUUCAUUUGUUAUAUUAUUAUUUUUUCUUGUAAAUUCAAUUAUUGAGAAUACAGCACAUGAUUUUUCAAAAUGGGAUCCAAUAAGAAAAUAUACAGUACAAGUACAAGCACAAGCAAUGGCUAUGCAUAAUGCAUGAUUAUGUGUUGGGCCACUAUACAGAUUUUUAGCUAAAUUAUUUUAACUCAAUCUCAAUUCUAAAAUUGUUUAUGUAAACAAAUAUUAUUUUUAAAUCAUUUUAAUUAAUUUUUGAUAGCCUCAAAUAUUAAGAAAAUAUUUUUAAAUUUCUUUAAUAAUACUCAAAUUUAAAAUAUAGAAAUUAAAAAAAUAAUCAAGAGGUUAUUGACAGAAAGAUUAAAUGUUAAGAUUAUUAUAAUAUAAAAAAUUAUGAAUAUUGCAUUAAAAAGAUUAAUAUGAACACGAAUUUGUAGUCCAACUAAGCUACAUCUCAUUCCUUUUCAAACUUUUUAAAUGCUUUUGCAUGUUCUCCAUUAAUGUAUAUGAAUUUAUCAAAAUAAUUGAUUUAGGAAAUAUAUUUGAUUUAAAAAUAAUUGAAAUGAAUUUCUAUUUUAAGCAAUACAUUACAUAUAAAAAUUUAUAUUUUUUAAACAUUACAUAAAAUAUUUAAAUGAGAAUUUCCUACUUAAAAAAUAGGUUAAAAUAUGCAAUAAGUCUCUACAAUAUUUAUAAAAUUAGAAUUUAAUCAUUAUAUUUUAAUUUUUAAAUUUUUUUUUUCUUCUUAAAUUUUAAAAUUCGGUUGCGAAUUUUAAAAUUAGAAAAAAAAAUAACUUAAUAAUCAUGUAACUGAAAAAUAAUAUUAUAAUAAACCUAAAUUUAAUAAACUAAUUUUAAUGUUAUCUGAUUGAACUUAAAUUUUAAAAUAAAAAAAUAAAAUUCUAAAUUUAUAAAAAUAAAAAAUUUAUAUCAUAUUUUAACUAAAAAUAUAAUAAGUUUAAAUGUCUCAUUCAAAUUAAGAUUUAGUAUGUAAAAUUUGAUUUUUUUUCCAAAAAUUGAAUUGAUAUCGUUUAAUUAAUGAUAUUAAGUUCAAUCACAUACUUUAUUAUUUAGUUUUUUUAAAAAAGUAUAUAUUAUUUUAUUUUUUAUAUCAUAUACCUUUUUUUCCCCUAGUGUUCCCUUCGCUUCCCCAGAGAAAGUGAGUUCAAGAAGCUCCAAAAAUCGUUGCUAAUGGAUGCUUCCAUCUAUGCCACCUUCAGUUCCAAAAAUAUCUCAUAGAAAACGAACUCAAUCCCCAUUGUAGCCCAGUUCUAUAAACCAAAAUCUCCCCAUUGCUUAAUUAAUCACUUUGCAACUAUAAUUUCUUUAUAUAUAUUUUUCUUCACCCGUUUAUUAGAUUUCUUCAAUUUCCUGUUACUGGGUUUCGAUCUCUCAGUGCAGAAAAACUGUUUGACCCCUUUUUUUUUUUGCAAGAAAUUGAGUUAAUUUUUGUUACAAUAAAAACUUAUUUCUAUAUUAAAAAUUUGGGUUACUUUUUGAUUCAAUGGAAAAGACUAGGUGCAAUGGGUAUGGAUUGGGAUCCAGAUUGGAUCUCUUGGGUUUCGUUAAUUGUUAUUAAUUGUUUUGUUUGUUUAAUUUAGUCUUUGUUUUUGUUAAACUUGUUCUUUGUGUUUUGUACUUCUUGUUUUCCGAGCUUUAUUUUCAGCCUUUUAUUUUCAUUUUUUGUUUUCUGGGUUUGUUCGUUUGGUAGGAAUUUAGAAUGAGGUACAAUGGUUAAGGGUUUACAACAAAUAUUUUCAUUAGUACCUGAGGGUUUUCAUGGGUUGAACUCAACAGAAUAAUAUGGAUAGUUUGAGGGAAGACGAGGAAUGUUCAUUUUUUGAUGCUAAUGAACACAUUGGAACAAUGUCUGGUUUACAUUCUGAUUCGAAUUCUGGUUUUGAUAAUUGGUCUGAGAGUUGUUUCGAUGUAUGGAUUCGUAGCCCUCAAAGUGUUAACGAACGCCGCAUUAAGUUUUUCGAUUGGAUGGGAGAUAGUUUAGACCGAAUUUCGUUCAAGAAUUCAGUAGAUGAACCUAGUUUGGAAGGAGAAUUUAGCAGGGUUAUGGAAACUAGUGAUGCUGUUUUGAGAACACGAGGCUCCGAAGAGUUCUCUUCGAGCCGGUCUUCAAUGUCUUGUUGGUCUAAUGAUAAUCUUGAUUUGUCUGAGGAGUCGAGUUCGUGUGAUAAGUUUGUAUGUAGGGAAGGAAAUGAGGAUUGGGGAGAACAGUGUGGUGUUGAUGAAAAGCUUCAAGAUGGGGAGGGAAUUGAAGGUUGCGAAACGAAGGUGGAUCAGUUGGUAAAUGGCGAAAACAGCUCCACGUCUGAGAUCCCUUGUGUGUCAAUGACCUCAUUGCAACAAGUUACGGAGAGGAAAAUGGAGAAGCAGAAUAAAACCGAGAGAAUGCCGAAGAAAGCUAAGAACCGGUGGUUAAGUAAAUUGAUUACACGUUUCCUGGAUAAACAGGUUGAAGAUGAUUCAUUGAGUGGUAACAGAGAUAAUUCAGUUUGGGGGAAUAAGGUUCAGAGGGUUAAGGUUCAUCAAUGCAGGAAAAGAACAAAGGAACUUUCUGCACUUUUAAAGGGACAAGUUAUCCAGGCUCAUGAAGGUUCAAUUUUGACGAUGAAAUUCAGUCCUGAUGGACGGUACCUAGCUAGUGCCGGUGAAGAUGGCGUUGUACGAGUAUUGCAAGUGGUGGAGGAUCAAAUGAGCAUCGACCUUGAUAUCCCAGAGAUGGAUCCUUCCUGUUUAUACUUUACGGUGAAUCAUCUUUCUGAAGUGAAACCCCUCGUUGUAGAUAAGGUAAAAGAAGGCAAUAUAAGAAUCCCGAGGAAGACAUCUGAUUCUGCGUGUGUGAUCUUCCCUUCCAAAGCUUUCCGGCUAGUCGAGAAACCAUUACACGAGUUCCAUGGACACACUGGUGAGAUCUUGGAUCUCUCAUGGUCCAACAAAAAUGUGAGUGGAACAGAUUUACGUACAUGUUUCUAGAAAGGGAAAACAUAAAUUUUCAUCUUAUAUGUCUCCGUUUUGUGUUCCGUGUUUCAGGUCCUGUUAUCUUCCUCGGUUGAUAAAACCGUUCGUAUGUGGCAAGUUGGAUGUGAUGGUUGCCUCAAAGUAUUUUCUCAUAGUAAUUACGGUGAGCUUCUAUCAUUAAACUUAUGUUGUAUUUUGGUGCAUGAUCUUGUUCUGAUUUCUGAUAAAGAAUUACCUCUUAUAUUAUGAUGCAGUAACCUGUGUUCAGUUUAACCCUGUGGAUGACAAUUUCUUCAUUAGUGGUUCAAUAGACGGAAAAGUGCGCAUUUGGUCAAUUUCUGGCUGCCAGGUUGUUGACUGGAUUGAUGUAAGAGAUAUAGUUACUGCAGUGUGUUAUCGCCCGGAUGGACAGGUUUGCGUGAUUUUCUUCUAGUGGUUUAGAAUCACACAGUUGAGCACUUUGAACUUCGAGAUAAACAAUCUCUUUUUCUAUUUAUGCAGGGAGGAAUUGUUGGCUCAAUGACUGGCAGUUGCCGCUUUUACGAUAUGUUAGGUAUGCUUCCUUUGAUAGGGAUUCUUAUUUGUUCAUGGAUUGACCUAUAUUCAUCAGUUUUAUGAAUCAUAUACAUCAAUCUAUAGGCAUAUGCAUUUUUGGUCUGUUUCUCAAAAUCCUUAUGCUUGGGUUUGUUCGUUUGUGCCUACCUGGGGUUGGAUAUAAAUUGCUUCAGUUUAAGUGAUCUAGAAGUAGUAUCUGAAAGUUUUUCUAGGCAUAGGCUUUAGAAAUAUGUUUCUUUCAUUAAGCAGAUUUUACAGUUGGACUGAUUCUUAAGAAAACCGAUUUUGUGUUGCUUUUUCAGACAAUCAAUUGCAACUGGGUGCUCAGAUAUGGGUAAAUGGGAAAAAGAAGUCGCCCUGCAGAAGGAUAACUGGCUUGCAGGUAGUUCUUCUCAUCCUCGGUUUUGAAUUUUGAUCACCAUAGGCUUAUCAUAAAAACCAAGAUGUGCAGUUGUCAAUAAUGUAUUAUUCAUUCCAGUUUUUGUCUCAAGAUCCGAGCAAAGUAAUGGUAACUUGUGCGGAUUCACAAGUCAGAAUUCUUCAAGGACCAAACGUGAUUGGCAAAUACAAGGGUAUGUUCCCACUGUUCUCUAAACUCAUGACCGUGCAAUUUGAUGCCUUAUUCGUAUUUUUCCCCAACUUAAGCUGUCUCUUUUUUUUUUUCAGGUGCACAUAACAACGGGAACCAGACAUUUACGUCAAUAACAGCAGACGGGAAGCACAUUGUUUCAGCUUGUGAUGAUGCUAAUGUAUAUAUAUGGAAUUGCGUUCAUCAGGAUAAGAAUAGUAUCUCUCAGUCUAAAGAUAUAAGAUCUUGUGAACACUUCUCUGCUAGUGCAUCCAUCGCGAUCCCUUGGUGUGGCCUGAAAUAUGGGAACACAGAAAAUAGGCAGUUUGAAGUACCACACGAGGAUUUACCUCAUGACCUUCCAUUUUCGUUACCUUCUUAUUUCUCUAUGGGCCAUGAAUAUUCUUCAGAGUCUUUACCUAAGGGAUCUGCAACAUGGCCGGAGGAAACACUUCCUCCAUCCAGUCCAUUGUCAAUGCCGUCUUCAAUCCAUAAAUCCCAGUACAAGUUUCUGAAAACUUCCUGCCAGAGUACAUUUGAUUCUCACGUUUGGGGUCUCGUUAUAGUGACAGCAGGAUCAGACGGUAGAAUCAGAUCAUUCCUCAAUUACGGUUUACCAGUACCCGUGUGAAAAUACCAGUAGAAUUUGGUCCCAACAAGUGGCUGCUUUUAUACGGUUGCAACAAAAUCCUUCUUGGAACGAGUGUGUGACUGAGGUUAGCUUAUCUGGAUAUCCAGGUUAACUUCAUAAUUGAUUUGUUACUCGAGAAAUCUUUUGUCUGCUCGCCUGGAAAAGAUUACGCAUGUCAUGUGUUGAAAGGCAAUUGAGAUAUAUUAUAUGCAUAAUGCAGGCAUCUGUAGCCUGUAGGACCAUGUAAACCAACCUCUUCCUUUUGUUGAUCUUAAAUUGGAUUAGAAAUCAGAGCUGGUGGCUGCGGUUCGUUCCGGGGAUAAAAAAUGGUGGGGGUGCUGCUUUGAAUGAUUGAUUUGUUUGUCUGCCAUUUUAGGUCUGCCUCAUGGUAGGGGCCAUUCAAACCUGUUCAUGGAUUCGGGAAUUUGCCAGGCUUUAUUUUUCACCGAACCGGCUUCCGUGCUUCCUUGUAAUGCUUGAAUGCCUACCGGUUUGGUCACUGUUGCGGUUAUGGUUAAUAAUUCUUUGCUAACACAUUCAUAGUAACAUCUUGUAGAGUUACUUCAUUUUUUCCCCCUUUUCUCUUUUGUUGAAGACUGGCCUGGAUUUAGGCGCACAUGUAUUUAAUCAACAGUUGUAAAUUAAUUCAGUAUAUAUGUUGUAGCAUUCAUUUGACAAAGAAUCAAGAAGCUUUACUUUAGUUUUGAAUGUCCAUGUUAUGUUUAUUAUUUAUUUAUGAUUUUCAGCUAAUGCUGAAGAUUGAACUUUUCGAAAAUUUUUAUUUAAGCCGUUGAACAGUUAAAAUCAUGAUUGUAUGGCUGUUUGUAUUGCCUACACCAAUUGAAAAUUUUUUCUUCCCCUUCUCUUCUAUGGUUUAGUUUUUUUUUAUGAAACAGCUAUGAAUGUCACGAAUAUAUAAAUCUAAAUCCAAAUAGCUUUCUUUUCCAAUCUCUGGCAUUGAUCAUCAGAUCGGUUCGGAUCUAAUGUAUGUUCUUACUUGUUGAUGGAUACUAAUCUACCGUACCGAUCAUUAAAUCAUCGUUUGGAGCUCGCUAGUCGGACCUAAAACAAAACCUUUAACAACUCAAUUACUUAAAUAAAAACUUUCAAACAAUUCAAUUACCAUUUCAUAAUUUUUUGAAGUCAAUACUCUAUACAUUCAUAUGUAUAUAUGUUACAAAGAUUGAUUACAAAUUCAACUGACAAAAUUUGAUAUGUAUGUAUGUAAAAGGUGUAGCCUUCUAUCACUGAAUUGUGGUAGAUAUGGUUGUUGAUGAAUGUAAACAGGAAGAAACAUAUGGUCUUAUUACAAAAGAACCAAAGUGUGUUAUUACAUCACAUUGGCAAAACACAAGAAUCCAAGGCCAGAGACAAAAAAACAUCCAAGGAUCGUAUAAUAAUAUCAAUUAAUUUCAAAGUUGAAGCAUAUGCCGUUAAUGUUAGAUCGAAGCCAUCACAUCAUGAUGCAAGUGAUGUUUUCCUAUACCGAUUAAAUCAAAUGUUUAAUGUAAUUUUAUCGUCAUUUUUAAUUAAAUAUGUAGUUUAAUAAUUUACUCAAUUUGUAAUUAUUUAAGUUAUUAUUUUAUAUCCAUUUUUAAUAAACCCCGGCCCAAAUGAAUGCAAUGCAUUGGAUCAGCCAAUCAUCUCCCUAAUAGCUCAUAAGAACAAAGCCCAAAACAGAAAAAGCCCAGAGCUUUUCUUUCAGAGUAUGAAUUUUGAUUGCGUCAAUUAAUCCACCAUAUGAACAAAGCCAAUAUCGAUAUUAAAACCCAGAAUUGCAAAGCUUUCGAAUGAAUUUCAGGUAAGAUUUACCAAUCUUAGCGAACAACAUACCGGAGAUUCACAUUCCUCCGAUCAAAUUAUUUAGCGGUGAGAAUUUCAUAGACAUCCAAACUAAGAAAAAAAAAGAGUCAAACAACCAGAAAAAGGCUUACAUCAAAAUUCACAGUAUUAAAAAGAACUAAAGACAAAAAAUUCGAAACCCUAGAAACAAUACGCGAUCCAUGACCUAAACAGGGAGAUUAACGACGUCGUUUGAAGGAGUGUUGUUGUUGUUGUUAGGGAUAGAGGUGACUGAUAAUGAAGAGAUGGAGGAACAAUUAGUGAACAUGAGAGGGAGAUCAUGAGCCUCGGAAUCAUCGGCAUCAUCGGAGGUGGAAAGGUUAAUGCAAGAGCAACGCUCGAGAGACGCGAAGAAAGCUUGGGCCACGCUGCUUCCCAACCACGCCGCCAUGUAAGACAAACAGCUGCCUUCACUGUUCUGCAUUCUAAGGAUUAUCUGAUUGAUUUGGGGGGGGGGGGAGUGAAGUGAGGAUCUGAAAGAAGCUGUUUUGAUUUUGAAUUGAACUUUGUUGAUAAUAAUCCCCAAAAUCAAAAUCUGGGGGUAUUUUUUGAAUUUCAAAGCCCUAAACUUGAAGAUGAAGCGAUCGGUCAAUUGACUCUAUAAAGGUAAAAGCGACGGACUUUGUCUCCUGCAAGUUACCUUCUUUCUUUUCCUGUUUUUAAUUAUAAUUUUUCCCUUAAAUUGUAGUGUUCUUUUUUUAAGGGGGUUAAUUAGUAAUUACGUUAACUAAUGGGUCAAGGCUUGUGGGCUUGGUCGGGGUUGUUUGGUCCAUAGAUUAUUCAUAUUUUAGAUAAUUUAUUUUUUUUCCCACAAGAUCAUUUAAUUUAUUGAUAACUUUUAGUUUUAUCAAUUUAUUUUACGGUGAGUAUUUGAUAUACUAAUAGUGUAUUUUUUUUAUUUCACUAGUAAUUUUAAAAUUUUGAAAUACAUUUUUUAGUUAUAAGAUGCUAGUCAACCUUUUAACUCUGCCUAUAAAGUCUAAAAACUUCACUAACAAUAUACUAAAUAAUUU
rnacentral:lncRNA from 1 species